rnacentral:lncRNA from 1 species
UGGGUUGUCUGUGGAUCCGGCUGGAGGAGGGUUUUACACUCAAGUACUGACUGCUGAGACUGGAGAGGUAAUUGUUAGAUAGAUCUGUGAGACGUCUCAAGGUCACUUUGAUUUCAGUUAGUCUUGGUUGUUAUGUUCUUUAUUCUAUCUGCCACGAGUUUUAUGGCUUUAUUUUGUUUUUUGUUCUUUUUUUCUGCAGGAUAUUGUUCAUAAGAUACUUUCAUUAUCUGAAACGAAUCCUCGAUCACUUUGCAUUCUUACAGCUACUGGUGUGGUUUGUAGCGCCGUCAUACGCCAACCUAGUUCUUAUACUGGUAUUCUGAGAUUCAAGGCAAGAUUCUCAUAAAGUUGGAAUCUUUUCAGUAAAUCCUUUUCUUUAAUUUGUUUCUCUCAACAGCCAUGGAUGCUAUAUAUACUUUUAGGUGUGACAUCUUUAACACAACUUGAACCCAACACGAAGUGUAAACAUGAGUAACUCGAGAAAAAUUCGUAAAUAAUAUGACUUUCUAACUCAAAUAAUAAACAUGCCAAGUUAUAGAGUUUAAACAAGAGUGAGUCCAUCCUGACAUAACUAACUUGUUUAAUGGUAUUGUAUGAAGAACAUAAUCAUUUCUCCAAUUUUUUCCCUUUGCUUUGAUCUGAUAUGAUAUAGAUCUAUGUAGAGUUAUGGUAUUCAUUUUCUUGGUUUUGCUAGCAUCUAAAUGAAUAUCUUUAUAUCGCGCACAAGCGAUACAUUUAGUUUAGUAAAAUGGAUCUUACCUUAAUUAAUUAUGUGGAUCAAUCAGGACACGGUAAUAAUGACAAGUAUCAAGUCAUCAAACAUGAUUAUAUGUUAAGUUAGAGUUCAUGAAAAUUCAACACAAAUCCAACACCAUAUAACUCGGUUACCACCCUUACUUUGGUUCACUUGUGUAUCUAAGUUACACAUUUGUCAUGUCUUGUGGAAUGCUAAAACACGAGCAGAAAUGUUUGAACCUUCUUGAAUGAGGCAUGACAUGAGUAGCAGCUAGAAAAACUGAAGACAAAAAUUGAUGCCAUACAUAUAACAGCCACCAACAAUUUAACAAUGAAUUCUCUGUUCUCCGCUUGAUGGUCUCAUAUGUUUUUUUUUUUUCAAAUGAGAUGUAGUACUUUCCAGCCAUAUAUUAGCUUUUAACAUUGAAGGGUAACUCUUUAUUUCUUACUUUCUUCCUUCAAUGCAGGGCCGCUUUCAGAUUCUCACUCUAUCUGGAUCAUUUGUAUAUGAUGCAACGCAAAAUCGACGAGGAAAAAAUGGUAUGUUAAGCGUUGCACUGUGCCAUCCUGAUGGGAAUAUUUUUGGUGGUGCUGUUGCAGGCGCAUUGAUAGCUGCUGAGCCUGUUCAAGUCAGUUUCUUCUUUCUUUUGUUUUCUUCUUCUCUUCUGUUUCUUUUUUUGACUCUGGAAGUAGAAGUGGAAUUGCCAAUGUUGCUCUAAGGACUCUUUCAAGUGACUGAAAUUAUUUGGUCCACAAAGUUAUGACAAAAUGAAUUAGUGAGUACAACAGUAACAGAGUGAAAACCAAAUAUUUGGUAUUGAACUAUAGUCUUUUUCCAAGGUAAUUAAAAGUGCUUGAGGUAAUUGCUCAGUCUCAUUUUGGGUUAUUUCAUUUAUCAGAUCAUUGCUACCAGUUUUCUGCAAGAAACCAGCAGCAACACCAGCAAGGAAUUGAAAAGGAGGCACUCAGCGGAAUCUUCUACCUCGACUAGUAUGCUAGGCAAUUCAUCAUGCUUGGCAAUGGUUCCCUUACUAAUGCCUCCACCAACAAUAGUUCAUGAUGAGAGUUGCAUUUCGCCUACAUCUGCUCUCUUGGAAUUUCCAUCCCAUAGUGGAGCAGGUAACGUCAUUGCUGCAAACCGUAACAUGAACCCUGCUACACUUCCGGGUUUUGAUCAGAAUGCCUUGCAGCCAAUGCCAGAUCCAACAACAUCUCCUCACAUUGACACCUUUAUUCCUUAGAUAUAAAGGUAGCUCUCUCUCUCUCUCUCUCUCUCUCACAAACAUACAAAGACCCGGACAAGAGUAGACUGAUAUGUUUGUUAUCGAACUUCCUUAGGUCUAUGCAGAUUUGGUGACUAGAGUUGAAGUGUUUUAUCCAGUUUGCAAGGCCACAGUGCAAGAUUUCUACCAGUGACUGAGAUAACCGUAAAUGAGAUCUUCGACUUGUUAUUGUUGUAGUUUUGAUGUUGUAACUUAUUGUAGAUUUUGUGCUUUGCUUUUUAUUGAUAAUGUGGACUUGGAGUUGCAUGAAGAUACUGUUAGACUCUUGUGGUAGGAAACAGAAAGGUGCCAGAAAAAAUGCACCAACAUGAGAUCAAAUCUCUGAAUCCAAUUUUUACCUUGAGACUUUUCAAUGAAUAUUGCUGCACCAAAGAUAUUAUUUUUGAGCAGAUGGUGUACACAUUAUAUUAUGCAGAUGUCAACUGACCCAAGAACAGCAUGUGUGUAAAAAGCAAGUACAAAUGAGAAUUGCUGUAAACUGGAAAUUCAUAAUAUUAUGUUCAUAUAAUUUUUACUUUUCACUUGUUUCUUGAACAAUUCUAAAAUUCAGCCAUCUGAUUGAUGGAUCAUAAAACAAUUCAUGGGUGCAAGGGUGAUUAAAAUUUGCUUAAUGUGUUCAUACAUUAGCAAAUAACCGAUAACUCUUGGCAUCGAGGCUUAUUUGUCUUACAGCAGCAAUUGCAGCUAUAACGCCCAAGAUUGAGAAAACCACAGCAAUAGUGGUGUUUAACAAGAAAAUGGGGCUCUUUUUAGAGGGCUUAAAGGUCAAGUUGUAGAACACAACAGGCAAGAUGAAGUCAAGGGGUAUGAAACCAAAAGCCCCAAUAACUGAAUUGAUGUCCCCAAAAAAUGGAAGCAUUGCUGCUAUGGUUGUUGCUACGACGACAGACAGCGAGCGAAAGAUUACCCUCGGGAUCACAUUGCGAGUAGAGAACUCUUUGCUCGUUGGAUCCACAAAUGCUCGUUCAAGCACUUCAUUUGUUGGCUGCAGAUAAACCUGUACCAAAGCAAUGUAGUUUAGACUACUAGUUUUAGUGAGUGUUUGGUUCCAGAAAAAAGAUUGAAAAGAGAUUGAGGUGGUGUUUUUUGAUUUCUUACCACGCCAACAGCUGAUAGUUGGAGUAUGGUGAAAAUGUUGGUCAUGAAAAUGAACCACUUUGGCACCAAAGGUUUGCCAUCAUCCAAGAAGUUGCUAAGUAUGAGGCCUUCAGCUUGGUUACCAAAUGCCCAAUAGCCAGAGAUAGCAACACUGGAAAAAGUCAUUAUAACUACUGCAUAACAAAGACAUAAUCCCUUGAACAUCUUUCCCUUCACUGGUGGUGCUAUUGUUGCCUAUUAACAAAAGUUACAUAAUUAUUAGUUCCUAAAGAAAAAACAAAACCGGUUUUGGUAGCGAUUGGCCGAAAUGGAAAAAACACGGUUUCUCAACUAGAUUUUAGUGCUUCCUAGAGAAGACUUGAUAAUCACUUCUCUAGAAAGUGCAGGUGAAUACACAAUGAGAACUUGGGUUUUUACUAAGAUGUUUUUGUGUGCUUCUAACAAAACCAAUUAAAAACACUUCAUUCAUAAACAAACUCUCCCAAACAGCCCCAUAUAAUACUCGAAUCCAAAAGAAAAUGAAAGCGAAUUCAAGGAUAAUUGGACUAUUUUGAACCUGAAUUUCUGGAAUGAUGCCAUUGCCAAAUGUUGUAGCAAUGAUGGCAUUGGCAUUAAAGACCCCAAAAACACGAUUUUGAGUGUUGCCCUUCAAGGAAUAGUCCUUAUGCGGCCCUUUGGAAGAACUUCCUGACAAAAUAUAAAAUUAUGCUUGCUAAGUUUUCAUCUCGUGGCAGGCAAGAAAAUGCUAUCAUGAGUGAGUAGCUAUUACCAAUGUAGAUGCAAGCAGCAGCGGUACAAACGCUAUAGGCUAAGCAAAGAACAACAGACACCAAGUUGAUGUGCCUCAGUGAGUGAAAAGAUGGAAUUUGUGCCAAAAACAGCAUCAAGCAUCCAAAUAUGAUCACAAACUCGUAAAGCUUCAUAGUCCCAGUUGGGUUUGACAGCAAGUAAACUGCCUGCAAAGAAAAUAAAGCAUAUUAUAAAUAUAUAUAAUAAAAAAAAGUCACAAGCGCUUCAACUAAACAACCGUGACAAAUAGCAUACUGUUGAUAAAAAAUGAAGACAUCUUAGGUACUGUCAAAGAAUUAAAAUCACCCGAUUUAUGUGAUACACAUGAUUUGCCGGUGAUUGCACGUAUCUGAAUUUUACAAUAACCUUUUGUAUGCCAUAAGCGAGUGAGUCGUACAAGUUAAGAGAAAGGAUUACCUUCAUGCAUUGUCCUCCCAAAAGAGGAACUGACUUGGGCCAACAAAAUAGCGACUCCAUCCAGGCCCUGUAGAAUCCAGUACAGUUUCAAUUAAAUAAUGUCAACCUUUUUUAUUAUUAAUUUUAUUUUUAUUAAUUUUUAUUUUUUGAGGACCUUUCCUAUUGAAAGGGGUGAUAGCAUAUUAAACUCACACACACAACACAGAUGCUAGGAUUCGAACUCAAGACCUUGCCUGUUAAAAGAGACAUAAUUCAUCAUAUAAAGCAAAAUACAAGGGAUACUCAAUUAAGACCAUCCUAAACCGGCCUCAACCAUACAUAAAAUCACAAAACAAAAACGUAGUGGAUGCAGUGGUUCUAGGAAUCUUCUUUAUGUCUUUAGUUUCUUAUUUUUAGGUUUUCAUAAUGUGGAAUCGAUUUUGCUCACUAUUUUGUAUAUCAAUGUAUUGUUUGCAAGGACUCCUUUAGGUUUCAAUUUGUUUUCACAAAAUCCCUUUUCUUUGAUUGUUCAUCCAAAAUUGAUGAUUUCAUUUAAAAUACACUUAUGCAAAUGAAAAAAUUAACCUCAAUGAAUGCAUAUGCAAUCUAAUCUCAAAGGAAAAUUUUGUCAUUUAGAGAAAUUUUUUGUAUAAAAUCAUUAAUAUUUGGGCGAAAAAUCAAUGAAAAAAAGUUUUGUGAAAACAAUUUAAAAUCCUAAAGAGUGUUUGUGUAAUUUCUGAAACCUCAGGGAGUUUUGUGAAAAAUUCGAAAACCUCAGGAAGUAAGAGUGUAAAUAACUCUGAAGAUGUUGUAUAGCCAAAAAGGAGAAAUUGACAAGGGCCAUUACAGUCAAUGGCAGACAAGCCACAUUCUUUUUGCAUUCAGGUUUUUUUUUAUAUUUUCUCUCUGACAAUUUAAAAAUGAAAGAAAAGGAUUUCAUACUGAUAUAUAGGUACCUAGAAUGUCAUGAGCCAUGUCUCUGAAUCGGAGAUGGCGAUGACCCAAUUUAGCAUAAUGUUCAAGAACCAAAGAGAGUAAAUUGUAUGAAUAGGUCACGAUUGCUCCGAUGACCAAACAAAAAAUCCCAGCCGCCCAUCCAAGGAAGGUGAAAGCAUACGGCAGACUCAGCAGCGCUGGAGCAACUAUUGAGGUUGUCAAGUGAUAACCGCAGUGCACCCAUGAUCCUAAAUCAUCAAUAUCAAAUUAAUACCAAAUUUGACUAAUUCGCUUCUUCUUUUUAUGCAAAACAAUCUAACUAUAUAAUAUAAACUGCAUGGAUUCAAUUAUAGAUUAUAAUGACACACUCCAGAAGCAAGCAACCAGAUUUUUGUAAUUAUCAUACGGUAAAAAUACUAGUUUUUUUAAAAUCUAACAUAUUUUACACGUGCAUAUGUAUUCUUCUCGUUUAAUAUACAUAUUUUUAAUAUAUUAUUGAUUAAAAUAUUACGGAUAGACUCAGGAUUUGAAAAUGGCAUGACCUAAAUUUUCCUUACAUACAUAUCUAUUGAAAACUCGACGGUACCAAUGAAUUUUAUAAAGACAAAAAAAAAAACAUCGGGGACAUAAUGAGCCUUACUCUUCAAAAUGCUAGUACAUGUAGAUAAAAACAUACUUAAAUAGUUAAAUAUCUAAUAAAAAUUUAGAAAAUGUCAUUAAUUGUAAAUAAGAAAAUAGGCCUUUAUCACAUCUUCAAUCAACAUGAUAACAACUAAUCAAUUUAUCAAAAUUCCUAAUUGACAAUUCAUACAAGCAAGAACACUAAAGUCAAUUUCAAAUUCUAUUUUGCCAUCCUAAGAGAGAGAAAGAGCGAGAAGAUAAGAGAGAGAAAGAGAGAGAAGAAAAGUCAGUCUAGGGGGGUUAAGAUUUUUGUUGAAAUUCUACAUUGUGUGUAGAUUCUACCAUAUUGCCAUUCGACAUGGCACAUGGCCAAAUGGUCUAAACCCAAAAUAUUCCAAAUUAUUGCCCAAAAUCUCUCUCAACCCAAGAAAGUGAAGGGGUUAAAAUUUGAAAAACCCCAAAUUUGGACCCAAAUAUCAGUCUGAGUAUUGUCUGGACCCCAAACUAUUUAGUGGAGCCCAUCAACAAAAAGGCACAGCCCAUGUACAUCAGAAAAACAGUGGAACCCGCGCUGGGCCCAACGCUAGUGGCUUUAUCUGCUAGCUCAUCCCACGUGUCUGCUCCUGGUCAAUUGGCCGUUGCAAUUCAAAUGCCUUUGUUUGUUUGUGUUUUUUAUAUUUAAAAUCAUGCAAGUAACUUCAAAAAGGAGUCUGUUUACUUUUUAAAUCAUGCAAUUCAAUUGGCCGUUGCAAUUCAAUUCUCAUUUUGUGUUUUUUUUUAUGUUGUGUGUUUACUUUUGGAAUAAAAUUAAAUUUAUGGAAUUUCAAUUUUUUUUUUUAAGCCAAAUUGUUCAAAAAAUUAAAUUAUGACGUUAUUUAAAAAGAUAAAUGAAGAAAAGUUUUCCAUAAAAAAAAAUUAUAUUGGACUUAAACCAUUAUUAAACAAUUUAAUAAAGUUGCGGACUUAAAAUUUGAGUCCGGAUGUUUGGAAGAAAAAACAAUUUGAAUCCAGACAAAACCCAAAUAGUCACUUUUUAAAAGAGGAAAAUUUGGAUUUAACCUCUCAUGAGUUGGAGAAGGCCUAAUAAGCUAUAAUAAGCAUAGUUUCUAAAAUAAGAUAAUAAGCUAUAAUAAGCAUAAUUUCUAAAAUAUAAUAAGCAUUGUUUCAGCAAAAAUGUAUAUAAGUUUAUUCGAUACGUCAGAUUGUGAGUGACUACAUGCGGUCAAUAUUUGCUUCUUCAAUAAAAAUAAUAUUAUAACUAUUUUUCACCUCAUUAAUGACGGUUACAAGAUUUGAAAAUCAAGUAGAUAAAAUUUACAUACUAAAUUUGACUGUUUGAGUGAAUUUUAUUAAUAAACAUAGAAACUAAAUAUAUAUGUAUCCAUUGGACACACAUAAGAAUAAUUGAAGUCGGCCAGAAAAAUGAAGUAGGAUUGAUGAUAACCAAAUGGUAAAGGACAAAAUGAGGUAAAAAACAAAUAUGUGAAAGACAUAUCAAUCAACAAGAAGAAGAAGAUGAUGAUGAUGAUGAUGAUGAUGAUGAUGAUGCGAUGAUAAUCAAGAUAAUGAAAAAGAAACAAAAACUAAUUAAAACAAGUUGUAAAUUAAUGAUAUAAAAAGAAAAAAUAUCUCUGAAGGGCGGUCAAUACCUUUGGAUUUAAGAACAAAAAGAGCACCAGCAUCAAGUUGCUUCUCCUGGUCAUGAGCUUCUUCUUGGCCAAUAACCUCUGCCUCCUCUGAGCUUGGUGGCACCGGCAGCGUCCUCAUCUCUCUCUCUCUCUACUGAAAAAGGAAAGAGAGCAAAGAAGUGGGAGAAUCAAUUAUGGAGAUAUUGUGUGUAUAAUUAUAUAUAGCGGACUGGCACUGAGUCAACGAGGUCCCCUUGAUGAUGCACAACUUUUCUUCAUCAUCGUCAUCAACAUAUUAUUAUUAUUAUUUUGGAUGUAAAGUAAAACAAAACAAGUAAAGGUGGCUACGUAUAUACGUCCUCUACUUAACAGUCAAACUUUUGGAGAGAGAGAGAGAAGGGGGACAAGAAGGACCAUAAUGACCCUCCAUACCAUGAUACCAACACGCAUUUAUUGGUUUUUUUAUCGAUUUAAUUUGUAUAUAAAAUUAGUGUGGGCAAAUUAGAUGAUGCUUUCUGAGUUUAGAUCUAUGGUUAUUCUAAUUUUUAAUCUUAAAAUGAUUCCUUAAAUUCUGAUUAGUCAAAAAUGAUUCCUGAAACUUUUAUUAGUGUUUAAAUAUGGUCAUUGACUUGGCGUUUGCUAGUGUUCUUAGUUAAACAUCGUUUUGGGUCUGGGACUAGUUGUUUAUUUUCACUAAUCAGUUAUUCAAUAGAGAUGUGUUCUUCGUAUUAGAGAACAGAAAAAUGAUCAAUAAAUAUAACACAAAUAUAACAUUAUUGUACUUUCGUUUGAGUUUGCAUGAGAAAUAUAGAACACAACUAAGGACUAAUUUGGAUAUAAGGCGGCCAGGGUUACAGUCCGGGGCCCAAAGCUAAGACGGGCACACAAAUUUUUUUAUAGCCCAUAUAUGUGAAUAUUAAAAAUUAAAAAAAUAAAAUAAAAGAGGAACCAAACCUUCAAAUCUAGAAGGAGUCAUUCCUGAUAUGGUGGCAUGUCAGCAUAAAUCACUUUUUGAUAUUCUCAAGAAAACUUCCUUCCUUGGAAAACAAAGUCAAAGAUAUAUUAUAUAUGUAUUGUAUAAUACUACGCGCUUUCGCGCAUGCGAGAGGUUUUUUUUUAAAAAAAAUUUAAAUUUAUUUUAGAAUUAAAAAAGAUAAUGGAUAUUUAUGUUCCAUAAAAAUAGGAUCCAUUAUCUGAAUUUUUUUUAUUUUUAAUUUUUUUAAUACGAAAAAUUGUGAAUUUACCAUAUUAUCCUCAUUUAAUUAAUAAUUUCAAUUCUUAAUGUUUGCAUUAACUAAGGGCAUUUUCUGGUAUUUGAAUGUUUCACCAUUCUCUGCCUUUUGCUUUAUAUAUAUAGAUAUAACAAAAGAAAAACAAAAUAUAGGGAAAUUAAACAAAGAUAAACCAACAUGCCGCCUUCUUUUUUUAAUCAAAAAGCAAAAAGGCACUCGAACACAACACAAGAAGACUCUCAAAUGCAAGCAAAUUUUUAUUUUUAUUUUUUGUGUUUCUCUUCUUCUCCAACAGCAAGUUGGAAAACAAUCCUCCACAAGACCAAACUAGUACCUUUCUUUCAAGAUUUUUAUUUAUUUAUCAGAUCUUUCAAGAUUCUUAUUUUUUUAAUAAGAAAAAAUAAAUGCAAGAAGGAGAAAAUAGGAAGAUGCAUAAUUUAACAAAGUUCCUCAUCACACUGUCAGCGUAACUAGAUUACGUCUGACAACUUCACAACCCAAAGCCUUUUCACCCACACAAAGAACAAAUCGAUAAGGAAAUAAUACAAACUCCCUUUCUAUAUAUACAAAAGAGAGCUUUCUCUCUUACCAAAACGUGGUAGGUAUUCCGACCCCAAAAAAAACGUGGUGGGUAUACCAAUUCUUCUACUCAUAUUUGCAAAACAAGAGGCUUAUACAUGACGAUAACAAAACCCUAUAGGCACAUGGCUCUAUGGCUCUCACAUGACCAUUUAAAAGAAAAUGUAUGACUUCAUAUUGGACUCACACAUUUAGGCAAACUCAAUAGAAAUCAAGCCAAUAAUGAAUCCAAUGCUCUUUGAAAUUUCGGUCAAAUCCUACUUUGCCUCCUCAAACUCAAAAUAGUCCACUUUCAUCCUUUAACCGAGGUUUGGUGACCCACUUAACCUCCACCAUCAACUACAUCCAAAAGUUUAUUAAUUUUGAUGACGUGACAAAGGUGUUUUUGUAAUUUCAUAUACAUAAAUCAUUAUCCACUAAUUGAGUGGAUGGCAUGGCAAGUGGAGCCCAAUUUUUUAAUGACAUGGAUUCCAUGUAGACAAAAUAAAUAAUAAAUAAUUCUUCAAUUAGAAAAAUAAACCAUGUGGAUUCUAUGUGGACAAAAUAAACCAUCUAUUAUGAUGCAGAAUUAUAUAGAAAGGGAUUCUGAUCUUUUUAGCUGUAGAUCUCAGAGAAGUCUUUCUGCUAAUGACCUGCUUUCAUUUAAUUCUCAAUCAACUCUCUUGUGAUAGUUGAAAUUGUUGACUUUUCAAAGUCAGGUAGUCACGUGGGUUCUAAGAAUAGGUUUUCCAAAAAAAUUUGCUGACUUUGUACUCUGGGUUUUGAGAUCAAUGGUGAGCAUUUAGAAGCUGGGCCUAAUCCAAUUCCUCUUUAGAUUUUUAUUAAUCUGCUUUAGUGGUCAAUUGCCAUUUGAUUUGGAGUUUUUUACAACUCUGUCAUUUCGUAAAAUACAUGGGCUUCUGGAUUUGGGCUCUCUUUUCUUUGGAAUCAAAGCCCAGUCCUUUGUUCUUUUCUGUUUUUGUGGGCCUUUCUUUGCAAAGAUGGGCUUGCGCGAGGAUUUCUUUUUUGGCCCAAACAUCUUUUGCUAGUCCUCGAGCAAAAGAAGAAGUUAAUCUAUUUCACUUUCGUAGGGAAUCACGAUGGCAUUUAGCAUGUGUCACAAGCCUUUAAACCCUUAGGUGUCCUUAGUAGGAGGAGUUGUGUCUCCUGAGAAUUUACCAGUUACGAUAUCCACAAACUAAUGUAUGCGGAAACCACUAUCUCAAGACUAAAAUUAUGUCAUUCAAGUAAAUGCACCACGUGUGAAGUGUAAAGCCAAUCCUCAAAAUAUAUUGGCUUAAAGACAAUCAUCCCUCAAUGUCAAAGAUAGAAUUUGUCUCAAUUCUAGGCCUCAAAAGGAAUCACUCUUAUUUUCACACAGAACCUAGGUUUACACUCUUAUCAAGCAUAUGCGAAUAGAGUUUAUGUAUAGGGAAGCAAGAUUUAUAGUAUAUGUAUUUAAGAAAUAAAAGCUCAAUUUCUGGAAAUAGACCUCAUGAAAAGAAUUAAAUACUAAGAACGUAGGUACAUACCAUCACCUCCAAGAGCAAGAUGUUCCAAAAGAUCCGUUAGGUCUUUACUAAGGUUGUAACGUAAGGCUUGGCUAUGGGUUAUACAAGAAAGGGAAGGAAAGACUAGAACUUGAGACAUGCCAAGGCUUCUACAAGCAAAUUCUCGAAAUAUAUGGUUGGCCCUUCUCUUUGAAUUUGGUGAUUGGCGCCCAUUAUUUUGUGCUUUUCCUCUACUACACGUGGAAUGAUUUCGAACUUUUGAUCUUUUGAAUUGCAUACUUCUUUAUCAGCCCAAUUUUAAGGCUCUUUUGAUUUUUUUUUCUUUGAAUAAUAAUAAUUUUUCAAACACUUGCAAUUUAGCAUUUUUACCUCGGUACACACCACUUCUUUCGUAGAAAGGUCAACCUCUCAACUUUAUCUUCAUCACCAUCAAGCUAUAGGGUAUAUGGCUUAGAAUCGGUUUAAAUGGGUAAGGAUUGAUGUGGGUGAUGAAAGAAAAGGUAAAUUGUUUAGCUUCAAGAAAGGGUAAACGGUGCACACAAAAGGUAUGGAUUAAGGCAUUUUAGUGGUGAAAUAUGUCUAACAUCAUCACUUAAGGUCUACCCAACUUGAAAGCAACGCACCUACACAAAGUGAGAAAGUUCUUUAGUAUCUAAUGCAAAUCCUAAUGAGAUCUUCUAAUGAAGAACGAAAUUGAAGUGUUUAAAAGUAGAAACAAUAUAACCCUCUCAAAGAAUGGCUUAAAGCUCAUAUAGCUCUCAAGGGUAGUCUCCACUAUUCUUCCCCAAUCAUUUGGGUAUGGUACUUUGUCCACCAAAACAUAAAGAGCAUGGCAAUGUGAGUGCAAUAGAUUAUGAUGCAAAAACCUUCGUGGCAACCAUUUAGUAAAGAAUUAGUGAUCAAAGCAUAGCAUAUAUGUCUCUAUUAGUAAGCAAAAGUAGUAUCUUAAAUUAAAAAACAAAGGUUUCAAAAAUUGCAAAAUUUCAACUUUGAUCAACGUCCAGUUUUUAGUGAAAAUUUUGAAAAAUAAUUCGUAGAUUUUGACCAAUUCUAUAUUCCCAGAAAAUAAACAUAAAAUUACACAACUUUCAUUUAUACAAAUUCCCGAAAUUCGUUUUGGAAAAUUGUGAAAACAGACAUCUAAAACAAAACAUGUGCAGAAUCGUAUGGCAGACUUUCCAGUUUUGACCCCUAAGUGCAAAUAUGAUCAUAACUUCCAAAUGAAAAAUCAGAUUUUUAAGCUUUGGAUAUGACUGGAUUCAGCAUGAAAAAUUGUAGAAGACAGCCAGGGCCAAAUCUUCAGAUUGAUUACCAGGAAAAACAGUUUUAACCAAACAUAAACCUUAUGUUUUCUUAAACAGAAAAAAAACACAUAACGAAAAACGAAAUACACUAAAACGAACAAAAACACACAAAAAGUUCAAUUUCACACCCCUAAACCUAAACUAAAUAUUGUCCUCAAUAUUUAAAGCAAAGAUAGAAUGCACUCAAUGGUUAGGAUAAGCAUGGUAUGCAUGAAAUCGAAACACAACAAACAAAAAGAUAAAACAAAAAACAGAAAGCAUGAAACGAAGUUACUUAGGUGGGUUGCCUCCCACCAAGCAUUUUAUUUAACGUCUAUGCAAGACGGAGGGCAUUAUCUAUGGCUCGACAAAUUCUACCGAAUCCACAACGCCCGAGGGGUCUUCCAAGUAAAGUUUGAAUCGAGGCCCAUUGAGUUUAAACUUAUACCCAUUCCGCAAGUUCUCAAUUUCAAUUGCACCAUGAGGAGACACUUGCGUCACUUUGAAUGGACCCGUCCAUUUUGAUCUCAGUUUUCCUGGCACAAAUAUGGAGUUAUCACUAGGCAUAUGUCAUUGACGGGACUAGUUGACGGCUGUUUGGGGUUCUUGUUUUUGAGAAGAAGGUCGGAGGAUAGGGCGGGUCGAGAGAGAGAGAGAGAGAGAGAGGGAGAGAGAGAGAGAGAGAGAGAGAGAGAGAAUGGGGAUUUUUUUCUUUCUGUUUUUAAAAUUUUUAAUUUUAUAAUAUUUUUAUAAAAUUGUUUAAUGUAGUUUUUAAUGUUUUUAUUUUAAAUUAUUAGAAUAUUUAAUUAUGUGGAGGUGGGCUCCACUUGCCACGUCACUCACUUAAUUAGUGGAUAAUGAUUCAUGUGUAUGAAAUUGCAAAAACACUCAUACCACGUCAUGAAAGUUAACAUACUUUUGGAUUGACGGCAGAGAAUAAAGUGGGUCACCAAACCUUGGUCAAGAGAUAAACGUAGGCCAUUUUGAGUUUUUGGGGAAGAGAGGGGCAAGUGGGAUUUGAUCGAAGUUUCAGGGACAUUGGUGUAAUUAAGCCUAUUUAAAAUUAUAUAAUUAGUUUAGUGUAAAUGCAAUAUAAUAUGAAAGGUAAAAUUUGCUCAUAAAUAUUGUUUGCUAGUCCCUUUUUAUAUAUAUAUAUAUAUAUAUAUAUAGAAAGAAACGAUAAUUAUAUUCAUAAAUUAGGUACGAAGACCAUAAGUCACAAGGGCUAGUACAAAUCCAGAUACAUAGAAACACAUCGGCAACAUCAAGCGGACAAGGUAUAUCUUCACUAAUAGCCUCAUAAGUCCAAAGAAAUUUUGUUAUAAAAGCCGCAAGCCUGAACAAGCCAAACAUUAACCACAAUGCCUAAAACUACCAAUACAACUACAACUUUUAAACUCUCAUAAGUAGAAACUACAAGUAGAUAUUAGACUACAAACAAACACCCAAAUCACAAAGAGGGUGCAAUUAUUACAACUCAAGAAAUUGUAAUGUCACAGCCCACUCCCUAUAUUGUCCGCUUUGGGGCCCGCCCACAUGGAUUUGUUCUUAAGCUUAUCCUAUCUUGCUCAAAAUGCGUCUUACUAGGUAAGAUGCCAACUGCUCUUAUAAGGCACUUCACAUUCCCAACACCACCCCCCCGGGAGCGAUGUAGGAUUGUUCACCGAUCUUGCUUCUUACAAAGCGCACGAGUCUUACAACACACCACCUUUGAGGCCCAGCAUCCUCACUGGCACACUUCUAGUCAAGGUCCAGCUUUGAUACCAAAUUGUCAGAGCCCACUCCCUGUAGCAAGAUAAUGUUCGAUUUGGGCUCCGUCCGUACAAAUUUAUUUUUGGGCUCAAGCUUAUCCUAUCUUGAGAUGGCAACUUCUCUUAUACGAAAAUUCAGCUUUCCCUCCCCGAGCGAUGUGAGAUUGUUCAUCGAUCUUGCUUCUUACUAAGCUCUCGAGUCUUACAUGUAAACACCCAACUCACCAAAGAUUCCAAGGACAACAAAACCACAAAAAUCGCCAACGAAAUCACCAGCGCAACCAAGUGGAAAAUCCAGCCAAAAAACUAGUAAACAACCCCAAGAGAGAAGGGAGGAAUGAGGAGGGAGAGGAGGGAAAAGGGUAGAGAAGUAGAGGGGAGAUGGGAGGAGAGGAGUGGGGAAGGAGGCUACCCCCCAAAAGGGGUCGACGGUUGAAGCUAAGUUCCUGAGGGUUUUUUAUUUCUUUCUCAUGUACGUAACUUAUGUAUUGGUUGUGAAGGUUUGCUAGUAUUUAGCGAAAAGAAAUGAUUUUUAGAGAUAGGUUUUGGGGACUACAAAUAACCUAUUUCCUCUACAUUUGACACAGCAAAUAUAAAGGAAAUAGAUUUCUCUCUUAAGAUUUUUUGCACAUUACUCUAAUUAAUACAUGCUGACAAGAGCACAGUCGGUCCUAAGAACUAGGAGGCCCUAUGAGAAAUAAAUAUUGAUGCCCCUUUUAUAUAGAAAGAAAUUGAAUUGUAACCAAUAAAAAUGAAAUAUUCGUUCACAUUUUAUUUUAUAUUAAAAUUAUUAAAAUAGAGGUUGGAUCCAAUGCCAAGAAUAAAAGAUAAUGUUCAUUGUGGCGUAAUUUUAUAGUGAGGGUGUCAUAUGUGGACCCUUCAUGUGGACUUUCAUAUUAGCCACAUGAUUAUUUCAUUAAACUUAAGUGAAGUUACUAUCCAGAUGAAUCAUGUGUGGCUAAUAUAAAGGUCUACAUCCAUAGUUUAUAUAUGGCACCCUCACCAUAAAACGAUUCAUCCAUUGUGUUCAAAAAAUUAAACAGAGCAAAGAUGGAAAGCCCAAAAAUACCAGUCGAGUACCUUGCAAAAGACCUUUUUGGCUCUCAUUUGUUGGGCUUACUCAUCUCUAACAUGCCCUUUAUUUUUUGGGGCUGGCAUAAGCUCUGGGCUAUGCCUAAAUAGAAUUGUACGCAUUAGAUGUGUAUGUGCACUGUUUUGCUUGAGUAAAAUCUUAAUUAAUUAACCCACAUCACUGCAAUAAAUGAAGAACCUAUUUUUCUGAAUUUGACCAAAACAUGUGUUUCAAUAAUAUUUAAAUAAUCUACCCAAGCAUAUUGCAAGCAAAAACAUACUGUUUGAACAAAAAUUGGAAACCACAUGCUUACCAGAUGACAUGCUUACUAACCUCAAGCAUAGUGACUAGUUAUGAGAGGAGUUCCAGACAAUGGUUCAUUUCAAUGUUGGAAGUGUGGAUUAUUAAGUUCCAGAAGAUAAUACUUUUGAAUAUUGGAUCUUGAAGAAUAUAUAUAUAUAUAUAACCAUAUGGUUUAAAAUCUUCAACGGCCAUCAUCUAGGAGAUCAGGGACAGUGGUAAGUUGUUUUAGUCAAAUAAUCAGUAUGACCUUUAUCAUUAUGGUAUUGUUAUGUCUUUCAUAAAUUGCAAGAAGGAGUGAAUCCUUUAGCUCCAAGUAUACCAUUUCACCAUGUUGAUCUAGUAUAUUUGUUCUGCUCCUUUCUGGUGACAAGUGUUAUACAGUAGUCGCUAACCAGGCUUGAAAUAUGCCAUCAGAAUGUGAUAAGUGGGGUUGGAAGCAUGUUACUGUGUUUGGUAGGUUUGAUAAAGGAAGUGGUACCAAAAAGUGGAAAUGCAACCACUGUAACCUACGUUAUAAUGGAUCCUGUUCUCGAGUUAGAGCACACCUACUUGAGUUCUCCGGUGUUGGGGUGAAAAGCUACCCAACAAUAGAUAGGUCUUUAAGAGAAACCUUUCACACCUUAGAGGAUGAGCGCCUAGCUCGUAAGAAGAAAAAGAACUUCUGGAUGUGCACAGUGUUGGAAAAUUUAGUAUUAACUAAAUUUAAUUUUUCCUAUUUGAAUGGAAAUUAAUAAAAUUCUUUGGGUUAAAGACAUGACUCUUGGGUUAAAGACAUCUUCACAUGAGGGGUGACAACUCUUCAAAUCAAGGGAUGCAUUGUUUGGGGUGACAACUCUUCAGACCAAGGGAUGCAUUGUUUGCCUUUUCAGAUUGAGAUACCUUUUUAGAAAGGGUAUUUCAUCAUCUAUAAAUAGAGCAAUCCUCCUAUAGUUUUAUUCAUUCAGUUUAUUCUUUACAUACAGACUUUCACAUAUAGAAAACAUUAGAGUUUUCAUAAAGAGAGGUUCCUACAUAAUUUGGUUCAAAGUUCCUUGUGAAUUGCAGUGCUUCUUUCACAAGGAGGGGAGUCGUUGUAUCCUGGGAGGCGAAUGCUAGUGAACCAUAAGUACUGUUGUGGGGCGUAAUUCGUCUUAAGGUCAGAGUGUCCAACACUUGCCUCGAGUCAAUUAAUGUUCUUUUAAUUCAAUUAUGCUAUUGUGAAAAUCUGUUUUGUUUGUAAUGUUUAUUUAUUUAUUUUAUAGCAAUUUAGCACUCAUAUUUCCAACAAUCUUAAGACGAAUUAAUCUAUGUUAUUGCUAUAUAUAUAUAAUCUGUGUGUUACGCGAAAUGAUGUAUAUUCAGUAUACAUAAUAGCACAAUUGAUAUAACUUUCAAAUUGACUUUGAGGAUGAGGGCAUGUGGUCACAUCUCGUUGAACAAGUUAAUUGUUUGUUUUGUUAACCGUUGCAUCUAUUUCAAUUAAGUUGGUAAAUUCAUGGUCAAAUUGAGAUAGCCAUGCCUUGAAUCAAGUGGGUUGAAAUUUUUUUACAAUCUAAAAAUUAUGUAUGCAUGUUGGACCAUUUCCUGUCUAUAUAAAAUGAAGCCAUUGUGUAUGGACGUGAUCCAACUAGAAAUUUGAUUUUCAGUUUCUAACGGUCAUAGGCUGUUAAAUCCAUUUGUUGGGCUUCUGGCUGUUCAUAUAAAUUUUGCAUUCAUAAAUGAUGCAUGGAUUCUGCAAAUCAAAUACAUUAAGAGGCAUAUAGUGCUUGUUUCUAGUUACUUAUAUAAACGUAUGUAUAUGAACCAUUGGGUUGACAUCGAGAUAUGCAAUUGAUAUAUUGGAUUGCAUAUAGAAAGAUUGUGAAUAUGUGGUUUUGCAAAUUUUCCUAAAGAGGGAAAACAUGUCAGUGUAUUAUCUAUAUUUGACAAACACAAUUGACGAAUACUUCCAAGAAGAGAAGUAGUGUUGAAAUGACCAGAAACAUGGUAUAUUUCUCUGUCCUACAAAGACAACAAUUGAAAUGUGGGGAUAAAGCCCUAUUUUGUAGAAAUAAGUUUCUAAUUAUGAGGCUUCAAACUACAAUGGUCUGUAUGAAAGGGAAAAUUUCCAUUACAAGGAAAUGAUGAGUAAAGUGGCUUCGAAAUUUCCUAAAGGAUAUUCAUAUGUGUAACAAAAUUACACAAAUGAUGAGAAUCCGAAAAUGUGGAGGUCUAUUGCAAAAUUGCACUAGACGUAAUAUGCAAAGUUCUUAAGGUAUGAAAUUUCAUUGGUAGUUUAGUAGCAACCACAAUUGUAAGAGAAUUGUGGGGGUGGCUUAACUAUCUUUGUAAUCUCAUAUUUGUGUAAGAAUGGAAAAGUAAUUUGCUUUUUAAAAGAGACGAGUAAUGUUUAUUUUAAGGUAUAAAAAGGUUGAAGACCCUACAAAUACCUUAAAUGUGAGGGAAGUCCACUGAAGAGUUGGCAAAUUACUUAGUAAGUCCCAACAAAACACAUGGAGGAUUUUUCUUUAAAACAACUAGUCUCGAAUGAAUAUAAUUUCGUAAGAUGGAAUGUGCACACCAUCAGUUCAUAGUCAACCUAGUGGAUCCAAUAUUUAAAGGUAAGACUAGAUAGUUAGUUUGAUCAUUGAGGAGAAUGGGAGUAAAAGCCUAAAUAUUUAAAGUCUCCAUAGUGGAUACCCAACCUAGCUGACUAGAGAUCCCAAGAUCUAGGUUCAAAAGGGACAACCAAAUUAUGGAUGACUAAGUAGUCGCACUGCCGAGAUUACAUCUCCUACCCAUAUCCUAUGAUGAAACAGUGCUGCCUGUAGCAUGUUUUAGGGUAAUCUUUGAUUUUAAUAAUUCCUAUAGCUUGGAAAUCCGAGUGGGGUAGUGCAGGAUACUCUUAAUAGGAAGUCACCUAUGUGAGUGUGAAAUGAGGCCUUUUUUAUGAGAAUUUUUUAAGGCUUGAAUUCUCUAAAGCUCUCACGAAUACCAGGAAUCGCUCAGGGACAAAAUGAGCAUAACCGAUCGAACCAAAUAUGUUUAGAAGGGUAUUGUGUGAGUGCUAUUGUCUGGGUUUACACAAACGGCUGAACAGUUCAAGACAUCACAUUCACUGAUUAGCCAAGUAAAUCCGAUAGUAUUCCGCUAUGGAAGGUUCAAGGCCAAAAGCUACCUGUCCAAAUGCAGUAUUCUUCUAAUAGGGACUCUCUCUAGUGUCUUUAUUUUUUGUUUGCAUGUUGUUAAGUCAAUUUCCAUUCAUGUGGGGGAUUGUUGGAAAAUUUAAUAUUAACUAAAUUUAAUUUUCCUAUUUGAAUGGAAAUUAAUAAAAUUCUUUGGGUUAAAGACAUGACUCUUGGGUUAAAGACAUCUUCACAUGAGGGGUGACAACUCUUCAAACCAAGGGAUGCAUUGUUUGCCUUUUCAUAUUGAGAUACCUUUUUAGAAAUGAUAUUUCAUCAUCUAUAAAUAGAGCAAUCCUCCUGCAAUUUUAUUCAUUCAGUUUAAUUCUCUACAUACAGACUUUCACAUAUAGAAAGCAUUAGAGUUUUCAUAAAGAGAGGUUCCUACAUAAUUUGGUUCCAAGUUCCUUCUGAAUUGCAGUGCUUCUUUCACAAGGAGGGGAGUCGUUGUAUCCUGGGAGGCGAACGCUAGUGAACCAUAAGCACCGUUGUGGUAAUUCGUCUUAAGGUCAGAGUGUUCAACACUUGCCUCGACUCAAUUAAGAUUCUUUUAAUUCAAUUCUGCUAUUGUGAAAUCUGUUUUGUUUAUAGUGUUUAUUUAUUUAUUUUAUAUAGCACUCAUAUUUCCAACACAAAGCCUAUAAAGCGCAUUAAGACUUUACGACCAAGUCUUUGUGUCACUAAAGAAGAUAUAGAUUAAAUAGUAGCUAGAUUAUCAUGACAGGGCAAAGACAAUUGCUCCUUUUAGCCCUGGGUAUGAACCCCUCUCAAUAGAUGAGCUUUUUGAUUCUUUCUUAAUUAGAGAGAAGGGAAGGAUAGAGAAAUCUUUGGCUCUACUUAGGGAGUCCUGCCCUCACACCGGAUGCACAAUAUUGUGUUUUGGUUGCUUAGCAUGCUAGGCUGCUUCCACAUUAAUAUAUUCAUCUCUAAUCUGAGAUGACUUAUGUUUUUGAAAGCAGUAGACAUAGGUGAUACUGAUGGAGCAGACAACGUAUUUGUAAGUGUUAUUGAUGAUACUGUUAUGGAAGUUGGGCCCAGCAAUGUGCUUAAGAUAAUCUCUCAUCUAGGCAAUGCUGGCAAAUUAUCUGAUUCCAUUAUGUUGUCAAAGUUUCCUCAUAUAUUUUGGUCUCCUUGCACUUCACACUUUAUAUGCAAGUAGAUGGAAGAAAUAGCUGAAAUGGACUUCUUAAAACCUGUUGUCUUAUGUGCUAAGGAAAUUGAGCAAUGCAUUAUGGCAUAUCAGCACUUUUUUUUUUUUUUGGUUACAAGGAGGGCCUAAGCCCGACAAAAACACAAAGGAGAACUACACUGGGACAAGCCUCGCAGUGGUUCCCCUAGAAGAGUCAUUAGCCAAGAGGCUAACAAUAGAAGGAGGAGGAAGAUCAAUAACAUGAAAACCCAAACUGGAAUUUUGACCCAAGUGAGCCAUAUGGUCCGCAGCAGAGUUUUGCUCUCUAUAGAUGUGAUAGAUGGUGCACUCCCAGUCACGCAAGAGCAAGUCUUUGCAGCAAUGGAUGAUGCUAGAAAGGGGGUGGUUAGUUCCAGUUUCUCCAUUAAUAAGAGAGACAGCAGUGAGGGAGUCACAUUCCAUCUGAAUUCUUCGGAUACCUUCGUUCCACGUGAGGAGCAGGCCUCUGAAGACUCCCCAAAGCUCCGCUUCUAGGAUACUGCCACAUCCCAGCUUCGUAACAAAUCCCUUGACCCAAACACCAGCAUCGUUCCUUAUGAUGCCACCAGCACUAAUAGCGCCCAACUCACCCAUACAACUGCCAUCCACGUUAAUCUUAAACCAGCCAGCACAGGGAGGAGACCAAUGAAGUUUAAGAACAUGUUUAGGAAGCUUGGAGUUCCUGGAUCUGUUAGCCACCAGCCAUUCACGGGAGAAAUGGAUGAUCGGAAUGUGGGGCCAGGGAGGAGGAGAGAAGUUGAGAUCAAAAACUUUCUUACAGCGCCAUUUCCAGCAGAACCAUAGGGCAGCCAAAAACAGGGAGGACCAAGGGAUACCCUGCAUGCAGCUGAAACUAGCUUUAAUAUUGGUGAAGAGCCAGUCCUUAAAAUCCAUAGAGAAGGAGUGAGCAACUUGAUUGGGAAUGCCAAUGGAGUUCCACAUUUUAGUCGCAUGCCUGCACCUGCGAAAGAGAUGAUCCAAGGACUCCAUGGAGCCGUUGCAGCAAGGGCAGUUGGAGUUGGAAGCUAAGUUUCUUCUCACACGUUGGACAUUGGUUAGGAGCUUACCCUGAAUCAACAGCCAGAGAAAGGUUUUGAUCUUGGGGGGGACCUGCAGCUUCCAAAUCAUAUCCCAAUUCCAAGUAUAGUUGGUCUCCUCAGUAAACAAGGAGAGGUAAGCCGUUUUCACAGAAAAUUCACCAUUGGAGGUGAGCUGCCAUAUACAAGAGUCCGCCUCAGUGUGAUUAAACCCUGCAAAAAUGCAAUGAAUUUUUUGCACCACAUGCAAGGGGAGGCAGCCCAUAAGCCAGUCUGUGUUCCAACCUUGCUCCGUGAGAAAAUCACUCACGGUCCAAUCCAGCAUAUCAGCAGUAAGGGGGACUGUGGUGAAGUUCUCCAGAGGACCACAGCCAGCCCAAUUAUCCUUCCAAAACAAGAUAUUGUCACCAUUCCCAACUCUCCAUUUAAGACCUUUGGAGGCGAGUUGAGUCCCAAAAAGAAUACCUCGCCAAGUACUAGAGCAAUUUAGGAAUUUAAGAUUAGGCGCAGCAAGCAAACUUUGGUCUUUUAGGUACUUGCCAUUGAGAACUUGGGACCAAAGGCCCUGCUUAUUUUGAAUAAGUUUCCAACCAGUCUUGGCAAGAAGGGCCUGGUUCAUAAAAUGGGUCUUUUUUAGACCUAGCCCACCACAGCUCUUAGGAUGGCAAACAGUGUCCCAGUUGACAAGGUGGAUUUUAGUUUGGUCACCGGUAUAACCCCACAAGAAAUCCCUGUUAAUCUUAUCAAGCUGGUUACAAGUAGAUAUAGGAAGCUCAACCGAUUACAUCGUAUAGAUUGGAAUAGCAGAGGUGACAGCUUGCAAGUAAGUGAGUCUUCCUGCCAUAGAUAAAGUGUGGCUCUUCCAGGAGGCUAAUCUGCGCUGCACUUUGUCAACAAUCCCAAAGUAAGUAUCCUUGGUAAUUCUAGAUUGGAUCAAGGGAACACCAAGAUAAUUCCCAAGGCAAUCCGUGAGGGGAGACCCGCAAAUAUUGGCUAUAGAAGCAGCAAUUCCAGGUUCAGUAUUAGGGGAACAACAGAUUCUAGAUUUCUCAAAGCUGACUUGCUGACCCGAGGCACCACAAAAGAGGUCCAAGCAAUGCUUCAUAAGCUUAGCUUGGGGGAUAGAGGCUUCCCCGAAUAAAAUGAGGUCAUCGGCAAAGAAAAGGUGGGAUAUAGCAGGGCCAUUUCUAGCAACCUUAACAGGUUUCCAGGUUCCAGAGGAGAUAUGAUCAAUGAUAAUAUGGGAAAGUUUUUCCAUACAUAGGACAAAAAUGUAAGGGGAGAGGGGGUCACCUUGUCUGAUCCCAGCAUUCGGAGAGAACCUUCCAGUAAGCUCACCAUUGAGAAUGACUUGGUAUCUGACCGACUUGAUGCACUGCAUGAUAAGAACCAGGAGUUUGCCUCUAAUACCAAUUUCCCAUAGCACAUCAUAGAUGAAAUCCCAGUUAAUCCUGUCAUAGGCUUUGGAGAGGUCAAUUUUCCAAGCAAUGAACCCCUUCUUGCCUUUAGAAUUUCUGAAUUUAUGAAGGACCUCUUGGGCAACGAUAAUGUUGUCAACAAUCUGCCUGCCAGGGAUGAAGCUAGCUUGCGCAGGACUGACAAUCUUUUGCAUGAGAGGCCUGAGCUUCUGAACAAUGAUCUUAGACACCACUUUGUACAACGUAUUGCAAAGGCUGAUAGGCCUUAACUGGGCAACAGAGCUAGGACUAGCCACUUUAGGAACAAGGGUAAUCAGCGUGUCAUUAAGAUCAUCCGGGAUGCUUGCAGAGCAGAAACAACCAGCAACUAACUCAACAAAGGUUCCCUGACAAAGAUCCCAAAAAUCAUGGUAGAACUUAGCAGGGUAUCCAUCCGGGCCUGGAGCUUUAAGAUUGCCAAUACUGAACAAACAAUCCUUAAUGAUUUGAGGAUUAACGUCACAAUUGAGGGUCGUCAACUCAGAGUUCUCCAAGCUAGGAAAAAGCUGGGGAGAUCAGCAUUAGAGUAUCUCAUCGUUUGGGCAGCAAAGAGAUUCUUGAAGUAGUUGACAAUGAUAGACUCCAUUUCAUUUUUAUCGUUAGUCCACGUACCUUGAGCAUUAGUGAGGCCCUCCAGCUUGUUCCUUCUUCUGCGAAUAAUGGUAGACAGGUGGAAAAACUUGGUAUUACGGUCCCCUUCUUUAAGCCAAGUGUUCCUUGACUUCUGUAACCAAAAAAGUUCUUCUUGGUCAAGCAAGGCUUGGUAUUCAUUGGUGAGCUCUUUUUCCAAGUCAGCCAGAAAAGGGGAGUGUCUUCUGCAGAGGGCUUUUUGAAUCCCGCCAAUUCGAGCCAGCAGCUUCUUCUUGUUUCGAAAUAAACUCCCAAACACUUCCAUGUUCCAAGUAGUGAGAGCAUAGGAAAGGGCUUGAGUUUUUUGGAGGAUACUUCCAGUAAAGUUAGCCCAUUUAUCAACCACAAAGCUGCGAAAGGUAGGGUGCAGGAGCCACAUGGCUUGGAACCUGAAAGGUUUGGCAGUAGCACAGGGGAGGUGAGCAGACUGGAGGCUAAUGAGUAGGGGGCAAUGGUCAGACUUGACUCUAGGGAGGUGUCUGACAAAGGCCUCGGGAAAUUGAUGUCUCCAGUUAAUGUUGGACAGACCGCGAUCCAAUCUUUCCCAAGUGAGGACACCAUUCUCAUUUUUCCUGCACCAAGUAAACUGAGCACCAAUAAAACCAAGAUCAAUCAAAUUGUUUCUAUCAAUCCAAUCCACAAGGCCACUCCCAUGAGAAAUGGGAUUACCACCACAUUUUUCAGAAUUGUCAACCAACUCAUUGAAGUCACCAGCAAUCAUCCAAGGGAGGUUAGUGGCCGAAGCAAUCCCAUCUAAAUAACUCCAAAGAUUUUUACGGAUGCCAGGGCAAGGGUGCGCAUAGACUGCCGUAAAAAGCCAAUCAAUAUGGUUCAUUUUAAUGAGAGCUGUUAUAGACUGCCUAGAAUAGGCAACAAUAUCAACACAGGAGACAUGCUCAUUCCAGAGCAUCCAAAUACCCCCUGAAAAUCCAUUAGCAUCAACAACAUGGAAUUUCGAAAACCCAAGCUUCUUAAUAACAUUGAGGGCAGUGUUGCCACUAAUUCUAGGCUCCAAAAUGAAAAAGAAUAUCAAUCUUGUGAAUUUUAACUAGAUCUUUCAUAAUACCAGGGAAAUUUGUACUCCCUGCGCCUCUUACAUUCCAGACCAUAAUCAUGAUGAUGGGGAAGGAAGGUGGCAGCAAGAACCUGAGGAAAAACCUCACUGACUGGAAGCGUUCAGCACUUCUACCAAAGUAGAAGCAGCACCAACAACUCCAUUCUUAACAUCUAGCAUAGCUUUUUUCAGUCUAGCAGCAUCCAAAUUAAUAGUAAUCUGAGGGGCAGAGUUUUCUCCAUGGUCAUCAUCCAUCUUAUCUCCUGGGAUAUCCUCCAACUUAUCUUCAGUCGGACCAGGAUCAGGCGGCUCAACCCCAGCUAAAAUAGGAGGCGGAGAUUUACCAGCGUUGGGGAGCUUAGAUUUCAAGCUUGCCACAACGUCUCCCAGGGUGGCUUCAUGGAAGUCAAUACUUCUAACUUGGAAGCCCGAAGAUUUACCAGCCGCGGCACCUUUAAGUUUCCUUUUAGGUUCAGAACGGGACUCGGGGCCAACUUUGGUAGUGGAGGCACAAGAUAUAUUAUUUUCAAUACCCAUCUGGGGCUUAUCAACAACACCAUCGUUUGAGAUAUCUCCUAGGGCUUGGCGAGCUUUACCUUUCAACUUAGACCGACCCUUAGCCUUGGAAGGUUUAGCAGGCCCAGCAUUUGUCUCAGUUUGUAUUUGGGACACCUCCUCAACAACAACAUUCCCAAUAGCAGCAUGAGAAUCAACUCUGUUUUUAUCAUUAUCCAAGGCUUCAAAUCUUGAUCCAGCAGGGGAAGCACCACGGUCAACAUUAGGCUCCUUAAGCUUGGGGGCAAGCAUCUUGGCCUUCAGGUCAGCAUUUGCCUUAAAGGGCUUUUUACCCUUCCUAUUCUGGACCAGGCUCCAAGGUCCUAUUAAAGUACCUGAAGACUCGUGGGGGUCAUCCUGAGGCAUGGCAUCAGUGCUGGCCUUAUUGACAGGGAGGGGAGAGGCGCUCGGUGUCCCUUCAUCCAUGGGUUGGGUGGUAUUCUGAACAUUCUCAGUAUGCGGUUUUUUAAUCACUGAGGGGCAAACGUUUCUGUUGUGGCCAUAGCACCCACAGGCAAAGCACACCAAGUGGAUGCCUUCAUAUUCCAAACCAUACCAGUUAUCCUCCACCUGCACGAAGGCUUGUAGGGGUUGGGUAAGAUCAAUCUCCACACACACUCGGGCAUAUUUCCCUCGAACCUGGGCAACAGUAUUGGAGUCAACCUUGAAUGUGGUGCCCAGUAAAUCUCCAAUGCGUAGCAUGGCUUCAGGGCGGAACCAUUCAACGUGGAGACCAAUAAUCCGGACCCAAACGGUCAUCCUUGUCACUUGCUCCACAAGGGGAUCAAACCCAGGCUUCCAGCGCUGCAUAACCAGGUAUUGGCCAGCAAUAACCCAAGGGCCACCGCACAGUAUAGCUUUCAUAUCCUCUUCAAGCACAAAUCUCACAAUAAAGAAUCCAUUCUCUAAAUCAAUUAGUUUCCAAGGGCCCUUAAUCAUACCCCAUCUAUGCUGCAGCCUGGCAAGAACAAAAUUGUAAGUGUGAGCCUUACCCAUCAGCUUGAUGAUGAUUGAGGUUCGCCAAGGGCUGUAGAGGCGCUCUUUAACCUGUUCAGAAAAUCUGAUGCUCGGUCCCUUUUCACCUUCUGAGACAAUAAAGUCAUCAGCCUCAAUCGUGAAUUUAUCAUCCGCCAUCCCCCCAAGCCCAGUUCGGGUAGAGCCAUGUCCACCUUGUUUCAAGACCGAAUCCCUAAAAUUCAAGGUUACAGGGGGAGGAGAGCCGAAGCCCACAUCAGUCGCCAUAUCACCAGACGAGUUGGGAUCUGGCUCCGUAGUUCGAAUCCGCUUCGUUCCCACUGAUUCCAGUUUGUUCUCAGGUUGGAGAGCACUGAACACAAAUUUAGGUGGAGUCGCCGUCGUAAUAGGAGGUAGUCGAGAGAAGUCGCUGGAAAAGAUCGCCGCGUAGAUGGAAGAAAUAGCUGAAAUGGACUUCUUAAAACCUGUUGUCUUAUGUGCUAAGGAAAUUGAGCAAUGCAUUAUGGCAUAUCAGCACUUUACUCCUUGUAGGUUCAAUCAAAAUCUGAAGGGAGCUUUGGUCCACUUUCUGCGAAGUUUUCACCUUCCUUCUGCAUAGUUCAGAGGAUUUUUGAACUAAAGAAACCGCGUCAAGAGUUGGUUGUCAGUGAGAGGUGGAAGCAAUGGAAGAUAAAUAUACCAGACGAGAUUUCAAGUGUUGAAGCUACAAUUUUAGGGGAUGAUUUCUGGAGCAAUGCUCAUCUAUUAUUUGAGCCAUUUGUAAGAUUGCUUCGCUUGAUGUUGACAAACUUGUCAUGGGAGAUGUUUGUGAUUGGGGGGUGCAGGCUCUUGAAGCUGUGAAAAGUAAGGAUGUUGAUAAUGGCACAUUGAGUCAGUUGGAAGAGCUAAUAGAGAACAGACGGGAUGCAUUAUUUUCUCCACUUCAUGCUGCUGGUUACAUAUUGAACCCUCGAUAUUUUGGGAGAGGUCAAACUAGAGAUAAAACUGUAAUGAGAGGUUGGAAAGCCACCCUAGAUAGAUAUGAAUAUGAAAGUGCAGACCGGCGGGUGCUUAGAGAGCAGCUCAACUCUUACUGGCGACUGGAGGGCUCCUUCGGAGAUUGAAGAUGUUGUGGAUUGUAGGGAUGAAAUGGACCCAGUUGCAUGAUGGGAGAACUUUGGAUUUGAAACACCUAACUUACAGACACUAACUGUAAAAGUUUUGAGAGAUAUGGCAAGAGUAUGAGUUUCCAUGUCAAGAAACGGCCAGCAGAUUUGGAGUGGACAUAGUGGAGCAUCUUGUUUUUGUCAGAAACAAUCUUAGACUAAAUAGCCAAAGAAAUGGGAUUACAAACUCCUUAUCUGUCCCCAAAAAUGUAAGUUUAUGCUCUUCAUCUGGAGCCAAGACAUGGGAGGGUGCUCAUAAAGGUGACUGUGAGUAACCUGAUAAUCUUUGUUACUGCUGCUCAAUAUAUUGUAGUGCAUUACUGUAUAAAGUUAUGGAUGUAUAUCUUUGCUUUUCUGGGAAGUUGUGAUUAGGGUGAUAUUCAAAGAGUUCUUCAGCUGUUAUAUUGCGUUUGACCUCUCUUGUUCAAGAAUUCUUUGUAACUAACAUUAUGUUCUAUGCAUUUGGGAAAAAAUGAUAUUGCUAAUUGCUCACACUUAAGAAGUAGAGUAAUGUUAUUUAGACACACAACAUUGACCACCUUAACUGACCACCUUCCAUUAAGUCCAACUUCUCUGCAGAUCCUUAAAUCCAGACACUCUUUCUGCUCAGUGCAUCUUCUAGCCCUGAUAUUUUAUAGACACAGGUGGCCCUGAUAUUUGUUCUAUCAUUUUAUGUCCUAAUCUGCUGACAAAAUAUGCCGUCAAUUUGUAUCUUUUAGCAGACAAUAAGUUACGAAAAAUCGGAAUGUAGUUACACAAGUAUUUUUUUAGUAGGUGUGUGCUACUGAUAAUAAGGAAAAUGCUAGAGUCAGCUUACACGGUAAUAAAAUGAGAAAAACUUUUCUGACACGGAUAUUGUGCACUCUCUAUCUCACUCCUCACUAGUGAUCGGAACAUGGCCAAUCUCAUAGAUAUAACCAAAACUAAAUCUGAAUUUUUCAUCGCAUAUAAAUAGUUUAAAGUAAUAAGAAUGCUAAAAUGUGAAAUCUAAGCUAAGCACAUGAAAUGAAAUAAAAAAAUGACAUAUCACUUAAAUGAGGGGGCCUAGGGACUGCGUCCAUACAUAUGAAUUGUCGUUAUUUGCUAACUUCAAGAACAUCUGAACAUUGUUAGACCAGGGCACUGAGCAUAAAUCAUGGCACAAAUCAGUAGAUACAACUUUUUUAGAAGUAGCUAGUGGGAAAAGCAACCGCAGCCCUUCGUUUUAUAAUGGUUAUAUGGAGGCUCAAGUAUCUGCUUUACGUGGAAAUUAAGCAAAAGCCAAUUUGGCAGAUUAUGUAUUUGGUCAAGCUAUAAGAGAAAAAAUGCAAUUAAAAGACUGAAAAGUGGAAAUAGAAUUGACAAGUGGGCAAAAGACGGUGAAGACCAUUGAAGAUAAUAUGUAGUUAGUACUUAAUGUGGCCACAAUAUGAGAAUAAUGGUGGGGAUAAAGGAUGUUAAGACCUAAUUUGUCACAACUUUUGAAGUAAAGAAAAAGCACUUAUGUUACAUACAAGUUGAAUAAUGGGGAAUAAAGAAAAAGGAGAGAGGGGAAAAAAAAAAAAAAAAGCUACUUGAUUUAUCAAAGGGGUCCUAAAAGGAACACGCAACGCAGCGUUUGAUACACUAGCCUUGGUGCUUAUGCAUAUAUGUUUAUGGAAUUAUAUAGGGGUAUGUUAAGAUUUGGUUUAUCAAUGUUAUUAAUGAAAUACUUAGAGUUAUAACUUCAAUCAAACAGUGUCAUCUAAAGUUCUAGACUCGUGGGUUGUUUUAAGGUUUUGAUUAUGUUGGAUUUGUAAGCUUUAUUUAGGUUUCUGGUUAAUUGUGGUGAUAUGGGCUAGUGGUUUUAGUGCGGAUUUUGUCCGUAUUAGUUUUGUUUUUAGCGUGUUAGUUUGUUGCUCCCUUGGAAUUAGUAUUUUAGAUGUCUUGUUGAUGUUUUUAAUUGUACAGUUGAAAUUUAUCUAAUAAAGUUUCAAUUUGAUAAAAUUAAAAUUAAAACAAAAAACAAGAAAACAAAAACAGUGUCAUCUAAAUAACAUUCAUUCUGUUUUAAGUUGAUCAAGACGGCAUGUUACCAAUUCAUGACCACUACCCUACUCAUGUGACAACUAAUCAAACUAUUUAUUAAAGCCAUAAUAAUAAAGCUCACGGGCCCUUUAUACAGAUAUUGUCAUGUAAUAUCUAUGACAUCCACCUUCAAAUCAUACCAUAACGAGAAGAAUAACCUACUUAGAUCGGAAUGCCAUUAUUUCAAGCCGAUCUUAUAUUGAUAUGUCUGUGUUUUAAUUUUUUAUGCGACAAUACAUGUUGUCUUAAGAUGCUACAAUAAUUUUUUUUGAGGACCUUUCCUAUUGAAAGGGGCGAUAGCAUAUUAAAUUCACACACAUAACUCGGAUGUUAAAAUUUGAACUCAUGACCUUGCUUAAAAAUAAAUUUAAAAAAAAAAAAAAAAAGAUACUGCAAUAAUGGUAUUCUCCAUGCUAAUUAAGAACCCCCUUAAUUGGCUAUUUUCCUCUAGUCAUGGUAUUAUCAAUUAGGGUGUGCUUAAAUUCAGAAAAAAGCUCAAAAAGUACCAAAGUUGAUAGUUCAUUAGAGUUUAUGUUAGAAUAAUGAUGAGGAGGCUGAUGACAUUCACGAACAGCUCAAAAAUCCCAAUGCCUUUGCUCUGAGAGGUACUGUUUUGUCCAUCAUUCUUCAAACUUACAGGUUUGACAUUUGCUAUUUUGUUGAUGCUUUGUCUCCAUUGGUGUGAACUUGCAUUUUGACAAAUACACAAAUUAUAGUCGCUGUGUCAUAUGAAGAUGUCAAAUUAAUUAAAUUAUUUAUAAUAUUAAUUCCUAAUUAAGUACUUGAAUGCGUGAUUUAGAAUUAGUCUGCCUACAACAUUAUAAUGUGUCUAAUUAUUAGUCAAUUAGUAAGUUAAUAUGACACAAAAAUCACCAUCUCGGCCCACUCCACAAUCAACUUGACCUUAUUUUUCUUUGGUCUUUCAUUGAAAAAUCAUCUUUGUAAAAACUCACUCAAAUUGUACUUCCAUAUAUGGAUACAAAAAUGAUAAGUCAUGACCCAAACGUAACGAUAAAAGACUCAUCACUUAACUGUUGCAUUUCUCUUGUCAGAAAGAAUUGUCAAUCAACUAGCAAGACAAAAAAAUUAUGGCACUACUUGAGGUGAGCCAACCAACUGUGCAGGCCAUGAAUGGAUCUUCUGUCAACUAGAAAAUUAAUUAAUUAGUCUGUCUAAAUCAUUGUUUAAUUUUAAAAUAAAACAGUUUAAUUGUUAGUAUGUAGCUCUCACAUGAAAAGAUGGGGCACCAUACACACACAAAUGAUCUAACUAACAUCCAUUGCAUAUCAUUGGAAGUCUACUAUUCGGUCAAUUAGUCAUGUUUAGUUCUAAAUUAAUAUUUAGAAUAUUCGAAUAUUUGAUAUAAUUUCAAACUUGGAUAAUUAAGUCAUUUCAACUUGGCAGGGUCAUGAACAUGUGCCAUUGACAUAAGAAACACGAGAAUUGAAAUGGUCACAAGCAAAAUAAUUUAUUAAUAUUAUAGGCUAACUUACCUACCACCAUGAAAUAUGAUUUGUCAACUUGGUCACAUUAGUUUACAAAUGCACAUGGGACUAAUUACUCUAGAGGUCACGAAGUAAUUUUUUUUUUUUUUUUUUUUCUCCUCAUCCCCUUAUCUCCUAAAAUAGAAAAUAAGUGCUUUUCGAACACCUUAAAAAUGUUACAAAACUACCGCCAACGUGAAGUAAUGUAAUGUUUUUAUUAGAGCUAAGAGCAUAUCCACUAGAAAACCGAUUAAAUCGGCAACAGAUUGGUAUAAUUUAUUUUGUUGAAUCCGGUGCAUAAACCGAACUGAACCGGUGAUUCCGGUUUGGUGGUUGGGAGAGAGAUUGUAUAACCGUCAGCGCGCCAAAUCGAACUGAUUUUUUAUGGAAAAAUAAAAAAUUAUUAUUAAUAUAUACAUGGCAGACAUUCAUUGGAGGUUUUUCACAUACCCUACAGCUCGCCGCACCCGAUCACAACCCGCUCCAAAAUAUCCCUAAUCCAGUCGAAGCCCUAAACAAGGUGGCAAUAGCACUGACACUGCCCCUGCCACCAACAACCAAGGAUGACAUAUUGGAAUGGAAUACACAGUAGCUGCCUUUCAUUUUGGUUUCUAAUUUUUUGGAAUUUUAACACAUCAGGUGCCUCAGAUUUUGCUUUUGUAAUGUUAUCGAAUUUGAACGGAACAUAGCUUUAAUUAUUUUGGUUUAAAUUGUAAGCCUUUAUAAAGGCUCUUUAAUGAUGGAUUUUUGAUGAUGAAUGUUGGUUUUACAAUUAUGAAUAUGCGAUGUUGAACGUUGGAUGAAGCAUGUUUUGGAUUGUGCUAGGAAUCUGUUACAAGAAUGUAGGAUUUGAAAUGUAAAUCAGAUUUAGGCCUUGAGUUUGGGCAUGUUCUGACUUAAGCUCAAAAAUCACCAGGUCUGUUGCACCAACCCAAAUCAAACUACCAAUUCUGGUUAACCGAAGUGGUCGGUUCCUUCACCCUUUAGUUUGAUGUCAGUGCCAGCUUUCUUAGAAUCGAAGGCUACGAUUCGAUGAUCAGUUUGAACUCGGGAUCGAACUAAUCCAGACCAAGACCGAGCCCGACCCUAAUUGCUAUAAAAUAAAAAUAAAAUAAAAAAAUUGAUUUGUUUGAUGCAAAUGUAUAUAUUUAGAACAAGAAGACUAGGAAAUUUGAUUAUUUUCCGUUACUUGACUCACAAAAUGUUAGAAAAAUAUAAAUGAAAAAAAAAUCCAAAGUAAAUGAACCCUACUGACCAAUAAUAAACCAUAAAUAUAGAUAUUUAUCAAUUGGGAAUAAUAUAUAGGAUAGAAGCUUCACCAGUAGCUAUAUAUAAAUAUAUUUAAUUAUUGACCAAGAUAUCAACUUUUUAACUGGGGCUUUUGUGUUGAAACCCACCGACUAAUUUCUUCUCUGAAUGUGCUCAUCCAUCCAUGAUCCAUCCAUGUGUUUUGUUUCUCUUCCUUUUACUUUAACCUCACCGAAAAGGUCAUUAUGGGUUUUGUCUCUUCUUGAUUUAUCUGGAAAACGAAAGACAUGCUUUUCUUUUGUGUCAAGGAAAAUUGGUAGUUUCUAUCUCCUUCUCAGCAGACACUACCGAGAGAGAGAGAGUAGCAGAUGAUACUGGUCAAGUUUACAAGACAAGAAUGGCAUAUAAGGGGUAGGUCCCAAAAGCCCACUCUUAAAUGGAGGGUAGGUCACAAUGUCCAUCUUUUUGGCACAUUAGCCUCUUUUGAUUAGCUUCACCUUCCCAAAAUCGUUUCAGGGAAUUUUCCAGCAUCCAAGGUAGCUAGAUAUUUAGGGUCAUUUACCCAAAUCAAAUUAAUUAUCAGAGUACAAGCUAACGGAAACCUAAUAAGAAAUGCCAAAUACGAUUCGACAGAUUAUGAUAUGGUUUGUAUCAUCUUGGUAAAGAGAGCACCACACUUCAAUUCGGAGUUUUAAUAUUUAGGUCCCAUUUGAUUUCAAUUGGGCCUAAGAUUUUAAAGAGACAGACCAACUACCAAAUAUGAAUGAAAUCUACCAUAUCAUUUGACAAAAAAUAAAAAAUAACGUGUGCAUUCGAGCAUUUAUUAUGAAAGGUAUCUAUACUAUUAGUAAUGUGGCCACUUAUUAUAUGUUUUAUUUUAUUUUAUCUUUCAAAUGUGAAAUUUUAUGUCUUCUUUAAUACAAAUGAUAUUGAAGGAGAGGGAUUCGAACAAUGGAGAAAUUAUAGAAUACGACAAUUGAUUAUUAAUUAACACAUGGUUUGGUCAAUUAUAAUUUGGGUAAUGUUAAGCUUACCAUAUUUUUUAUACCACAUUGUGUCCCACCUCUCUAAUAAAAGUGGAGCCGAACAAAUUAAAAAGAGAAAACAAUCCACAGUUUUGACAAAGGACAGACAUGACCCUUCAAUCAAGGCUCUGGCAAGUAAGAAUGCUUUGUUUGUAUGACUUGUAUGAGGGCUCUUGUUUAUAUUGGCUUAAGUUUAAAUAUACUGUAAACACUAACCUGUGGGUUCUGAAAUUCAUGUCAUUAAUGAUCCACAUGAUUAAGAAUUCCUGUCAUUAGCAAAAUUUCACGUUCCAAUGUGUGCACGGCAUCGCAGCAAUCAACUGUUUUAACAAUGGGAAGUGAUAUUUCCAUGGCUUUUUAAUUCUAUAGCUGUCAAUCCAAACCCAUCUCACCAGCUGUAAGAAUAAUUUUCACAUGUAAGCAUGUACAGUGUACUUUGUUUAAUCAUACUAAUAUAGUUCUAUAAUAACUUUCAAUUUUCUAAUCGAAGAAGGUUAAGCAGUCUUUUUUAAAACUAUACACAUAUUGUCUUGACCUAAGUUGUUUAACUUAAAUAAUAGUAUACCGAUUUGAGUUCGUAAGGACAACAUUCUAGUCUAGUGAUACUUCUUUUUCUAAUGAUAAAAAAGGUCCCAUAGUCAAAUUUCCCAAUAAAUAAAAUAUGAAAACCUUAUUUUACAUGCUAUAAAGUAAUGAACUCUCUUAUAAACAAAAUUCUUAAGAAAUAAAAGAAGCAAAAUUAUAAUGGUAGUUCUUAUCAUUCCAACGGUCAUGAAUUUAAACAAGCAUGAUCUCGAUAUGUUAUGUUAUUACACUAUCAAUUACAAAAGCACACAUUCAUGCAAUUCUAUCUGCUUUAUGAUUUUUGUUGAUGCAUUAUAGUUCUUUCGUUUAGAUAUAUGUUAUGUAGUUGUGUGUUUUUUUGACUUUUGCAUGUUGUGCAAAAUAAGAGAGUUGAUGAACCCCAAACAUUUCUUAGGGUGAAUGGCGUGUGAGUUGACACAAGGCUCUAGGAUGAAAACACGCCGAGGAUUUGCGCCUUUUUUUUAUUACAAAGUGACUCGAAUUUUGUUGAUUAUAACUAAUUCACAUUACCAAAGCGGAAAUUAUAAAAUAAUUAUAUAAAAAGUUGACCAUUUAGAUUGUAAUCUAAACAAAUUUGUACUAUGAAAAAGAAAAACAAGUGGACUGAUAAAUCUGUAAAAAAAAAAGCUAAAAAAACAAGUGGUCAUUUUAUUUUACUGCGAUUUUAUGGGCAAAUGUCUAUGUUGCGUUUAGUGACAAAAUAAAUAAUAAUAAUUUCUUCUCCUAUUUUCUCUUGUAAGGGUACUUUGGUAUUUUGCAGGGAUGCUAAGGGUCUUUUUGGUAUUCAAUUUGAUUCCAAAUUUUUAAAACUCAAAAACAGAAUUUCAGUCUAAAACAAAGAAAACCUGUUUGGUAGCCCUAUUUUUAAAAACUCAAACUCAAGAACAACUAAAAACCACCCCAAUUAUUAAAAACAAAAAAUAUCUGUUUUUUCACAACUAAAAAACACCCCAAUUAUUAAAAACAAAAAAUAUCUGUUUUUUCAGUUUUUUUCUAACAAUCCACAAGUUCUCAAAUUUUUAAGAUUUGAAAACAGUUUUCAACGUGCAUACCAAACAAGUUUUUAAAUCUUAAAAAUAAAUUUAAGAACUCCUUGUUUUAAGAAAAAUCAAAGUUUUUGAGUUCCCUAUUUGAAUAGGAUAUCAAACGCCCCCUAAGCUUGCCAGCUCAAGCUUAGCCCGAUCUUCUUUUAUUAAUGGCAAACUAUAAUGUCGGCUCCUAAUAUUUGCGAACACUCUCAAUCUCAAAUAAGGCAGACUUUGCUCAAUUGUUCCUUUGAACAAAAAAAGGACUGCUACCUAUGGCAUAAUUGCAAUUUCAUGUUCCACGACAUUUUUGCACAAUAUUUUAUGUAAUUAAGAGAUUGGAUGGAGUGGUAAUCUUUUUUCUUUUUUUCACAUCGGAUUUUCCUCCACUAGGGAUUUUCAAAGCAAGACUUUGACAAGGCCACAUAAGUUGCAUCCAAGUUCUCAGUGGCGGAGCUAGGAUUCUUAGUAUAGAGGGGCCAAAAUUUCAAAAUCACUUCUACUAGGUUUUUCAUCUUCAACUGGGAGGGCCAUCACUAAUCUAAUUGCAGUAAUUGUAUUGCUAUAUCAUAUAUUUAAUAAUAUAUUACAAGAGAUUAAUAAUUAAGUGGGGGGGCCAGGGCCAUGGCAGGCCUGGCUGUAGCUUCGCCCCUGCAAGUUCUAAUAGUACUUGUAAUAAGUCGUUUAUAUCAAUCAUGUUUUCUUUCUUUUUUUGACACAACGGCGAUAGUGUUUUAUUUGAGGAAACUGAGUAACAGGUACAAAAAAUCAGACUAUGUCCUAGAGGAUUAGGCGAGUACUCUACACCAAAAGAAGUGUAGAGGGUGUUGGUCUACUGAGGUAGCCUACCUUCUCAACCACGAGCGGGAAAAGGUGAAGGAAACAUUAAAUUAUAGGUAUAGUUAGCCACAAAUAUAAGGUUAUAAUUAACCUUAGGCAACGAAAGCUUUAAAAUUUAAUCUUUGAGCUAUAAUACAACUAACUCUAAGUAUCUUGAAGCUUAGUUUCGAUUGUUCCACUCCUAGACUUUCUAGACUAAGAGAGAGAGAGAGAGAGAGAGAGAGAGAGAGUAGAAACUUUAUCCUUGAAGCACCACUCAAGGUUAACAUCCUUAGAGUUGAUCACCUAUAGAAGGCCUUGUAGAUUCACCAAAUCACCAAUGAAAGUGUUCUCUAACUUUUCAACACCAAGGAAGAUGAAGGAUAUAAUGCAACCUAGGAAGGAAGGAUGCUAGUGUUCACUUCCUGGGGUGGCUGAUUUUUGAUAGGUGGGAAGAGCUUGAUAGUGUUCUAAUCCUCUCUAGAAACUAGCUAAAAACCCUUACUUUUUCUCAAGAGACAAAAUUCACUUAAAUAGACACGCAAGGGAGGUAAAUAUAUAUGAAUUUUAUUUUCCAAUUCAUAUUGAACAAUUCUAGUUGCUUUCUCACUACCCGAGGAGAGCCGUGCAUCAAAUAUUAGGGUUUUGAUUUUUCAUGUUCAGCCGUCAUCCCCUCAUCGGCCUAAUCAUGCUUGUUUUCGUCCAUGUUCAGUCGCGUCGUCGUCCUUCUCCACUUGACAGUAUCGAGUCAUUUUUCUUCCACGUCGAGUCGCUGCCAUCACUCCUCUCUUCAACUCUGGGGUGCUGGCCUCGUUGUUGUCUCUCUCAUAUCCUAGGCAUUGGUUUCAUCGUUCUCUUUAUCCAUAGUGCGUCGGCGUCUCUGGUGGUUGCUUUGGUAUGGUGGUUUCAGCUAGUCUGCUCUUGCUAUUGUGCCGUCAGUCUCCAAGUCAACAACGGUCAUGGUGCAAGCUGCUUCGUUGGGGUCGGCGGUCACGAUGAAAGCGGCUUUCCUCACGCCUCCUCCAUCAUCUGAUCUGCGAUCUCAAGCUUUACCUUUAGGAGAAGACGACCGUUGUCCAGAGAUUUAGCGUGGGUGGCUUUUCACCUAUGGUCUAUAGCUUUGAUCCUCAUUUUCACAAUGUUGGGCCAAGUUUUUGGCAACUAGGGUUGUUGGGUACCAUCAUUUUACCCUUAUUUACAAGUGAUGUUGGUGUCCUUAUUGACAAACCUAUGGAGUCUCGUAGACGCCUUUCUUAAAGUGUUGUUGGAGCAUUCGUGGGCUUGGCAUCCAUGGAAUGCUCUUAUGCCUGAUCCCCGUGUUCAAGUUAAGUAGCUAGGCCAGUUUUGUUAUUUUUCCAUGGUGUUUUCUUCAUUCUCCCCUUAACUGAUAUUUGAUUCUCUGCAUGUCUCAAGGACUAUGUUUUCAUAGGAGGUUGCUUUGUCAGUGUUAAGAUGAUAGGGCGUGCUUGGGGGUCAAUCCUGGCAUGUUUCUCUUAUUUCAUCGCUAAUUUCUAUUGGAGGUGGCUGGAGAUGGUGUGUUUAGUGGUUGUUUUCUUUCUUCUUGGCGUAUUGUGUUCUCUGUCGGAUGUUCUCACUAUCUUGUGGUUGUGCAAAGGACUAUGAUUUCAUAGCAAGACUUUUUUGACAGUUGGAUUUUGUUGUAGUGUUCUCAUUGGAGGUCUUUGCAUCGAACGUCUAUGAGUCAAUUUGCUAUUUUAUUUUAUCCUGCUCUAGCAUUGGUCCUGCGUGACUGUUUCAGACUCUUUUGUUAGUCUAUGACAUGUGUGGUAUUCUUUCCUACCUUGAGGUUUGUCCCUCAGGAAUAUUUUAAUGAGGCUACUAUUUCGUGUCAUUCUAUGUACACUACUUUGAUUCAAUUAAUGAAUUCUAUUUCUAAAAACGAAACAAUUUGACACAUAAGGAAGAGACUAAAGUCUUCCCUUGGUAAAACUGGCCAUGGGGUCUCUAGUUGCCUCUUGGGCUUAUGUGGUCAUCCUACUAUACGCACAUGUCUUAACAAACCCAAAUGGGCCAUGAACCCGAUUUUAUAGUUUAUGCCCAAUUUACUCUUUUCCAGCAUUAUCUUAAUUAAUUCAAUCUCCAUUAAAUUAAUAAGUUUAUGUACAUCAUAUUUAUUUCCUUUCAUCUAACAUUAUCAGUGUGCGAUUCAUUAGGUUCUUAAUCGACGAGGCAUUGUGCGAUCCAAAACUCUUUAUUGAUUGAUUGUGAGUUAAAACUUCCUUUUAAUUCUUCCUUCAUGAGAAAAAGAUUCUAUCUUUGUUCCCAGGGCUUCCACAAACCGUGAGUGACGUCUAGCAAUUUGUCACGGUUGCCCAAGCCAAUAUAGAAUGGAGUUGUGAACCUAUUCAGUUGAGAUUACCAUGCAAUGCUCUUGAUCAUGCUAAUUAGGUCAUGAAAUUCGUGUCAAGCCCUUAGUGUGAUCUAUAGUUUCAUGUGAUUCAUUAGAGCAUGAUCAUAAUCUCUGUUAUUGAUAUAGCUCGUUGCUUUAGCCAAAGACUUUCUAGUCAUAUCUUCUGAGCAUUCUCCUUCUUUAUUGAAAGUAGAAAUUCCUUGUUGUACACUCACACGUCUCCAUGAAUUGAUCAUGAACCCUUGUCAUAUCUUUGGGUUAUGCCUAGAGGAACACAACACUUCAACAUGGCUAAGGGCCUACGACUCUUCCAUGAGACAACUCGUGAUGCCUCAGGUCAAGACUAAUUUGCACUAUUCCAACUUGAGAGAUUUUGAUUGACAUGUAAGUUAAACUUUCAUUCACUUUGUUGAUCACGUUCAGUGAAUUCAUUCUCUAAUGAACACUCAUGCACUUAUCUUAGUGUCUCCACAUAAAUGACUCGAGACCAAUCAUCCUUUUGAUUGAGCAGAUACAAUGCAUGAUGGUCUUUGUGGAUUAUCAAUGUCUAGUUGAUUAUCCUAUGACCAUGAACAGUUUAGGACAUGGACAUGGUACAUAAAGGUCUCCUGAACUUAACUUCUUUAAGUCACUUUCUACGUCUCACGAUCCACGACUUGUUGGUUAAGUAAAUGACUAAGAUUAUUACUCAAAACAACAUAGUGCCCUUAAUUAAUUAGGUGAAACAUCCUUAGAGUUUACAUCUCAUGAUUGGCUCUAGGGUAUAUUUCUAACAAAAGGAACCUUGCCUCCGAUAGAGUGCCCCCCCUCCCAAUACCCCUAAGAUCAUAUCCGUAAAAAUUACAAGUUACAAUCCUCAAAGAGAACAUAAAAAAUACAAUCUAGUGGCUCUUCAAACCAAGAAACCACAGUUCUCAAAUGUAAGGAAAAUUGGCGAGGCAAUGGGCUACACCAUUGACAGUACAACUGGUAUGGGUAAGAUUUAUAUCAAUAAAAGUUUCUUAACGAUUAAAAAAAAUGAUUUUUUUCCCUCAAAAUUUGACAGUAUUUGAACUUCUUUUAUUCAUUGACCAAAUUACCAUUUUUCUUUUAUAACGAACGAUAGUAUUUUAUUGAUAACAUGAACAAAAACAAGUACAAGGCCACUAUAGUGCAAAAGAUGGAUAAAUCUUCUUCAAUGACCAAACACAACAACAAGUUAAAUUGAUAUUGAGAGAAUUACGCACAACCUUCAAGAUUAUUAAAAUUUCUAAUUUUGCAUACAGAAGCACGCCUACUCAAACCUACAAUACAACUCCGCCACCUAAUGGCAUAAACGACAUAUCUGUAUCAAAAGCUGAAAGCUGAUAAGAAAUAAAGUCUCAUAAAGAAAAAAAUAAAAUACAGCUAACUCCUAAAGAGUUCAUGACAAUCAUUAAACCAAAAAAAAAAAAAAGAAGCAUGACCACCGCUCCUGUGUAAGUAAUAAUAGUGAUUAUUAGCAGCGCAUUAUUACAAGAGGUCCCAAGUUCGAACCUAAAUAAUAAUAUACUAAUUUGAGUUUAUAAGGCCAACAUUCUAAUCUAGUGGUACUUCUUUUUCCAAUGUUAAAAGAGGUCUCAAGUUCGAACCUCACAAUAAAUAAAAGGAGCGAGAGGAUAAGAGAGAGAAAGGAUAGGAGGAGGAGAGGACAGGGGAGUGGAAAGGGACGAAGGCCAUCAUUCCCCAAAGAAGGCUGCAACUUCCUUAUGGUUUUCUCAAAGAGGGUUUUUCCCUCUUAAAUUAAUUCUUUUUUUAUGCCGAAACAUUAAGUUAAAUAUGUGGACCAAUAAUAAUUUUCAGAGGGAAAUGAAAGAAAAUUAUUGAAGUAUUAUUUAAAGCAAGUGGUGUAUAACAAAGAAGGAAAAUAUGGGAAAGGUAAGAGUAGUUCUCAAUAUUUGAAGGCUUAUAAGUGUCUUAUUUAUCUUUAGUGUGCACACUAUUUAUAGACAUAGAAAAUACAUCAUCAUUGACCACUAUAAGUGGUGGUUACAAGGCAUAACUAUAUGAUAAGUGUUAUAUAUAUAGUCUUUAUGAUGGGCAUCCAUAACCUAUGAAUUUACAACGGUAAGGAACUUUUUUUUCUGCUCGUUAAGCAUACAUAUUUACAUUUUUUUUUUCAUAAGUCAAUGGGCAAUUAGUUCAAUGGAAAAAAAUAUAUCAUAAUGACAUUAGUCAAUUACAAAAUUUAGAUAACAUAACGACGCAUGCAUAUUGUUUCUUUUGAGAAUAUGUUUUCUUGCAAGAAGUUGCGCAGGAGAAUAAUGCAAGAUUGGGGCCAUUUCAAAUACACACCUCCUUAUCAACGUGCAACUUAGAAAUGAUGAUAAAUAUAUUAAGGCUCUUAAAGUUUAAAUUAUUUACAUUAUUUUUGUACAUAUCCAUGCUUGUUUAUGGAAAUAUUGAACAUGAUGUUGUUCCCAUUAUCUUUUGCUCCUAGUAAGGUUGGGAAGUGGAAGAUCAUAGGUUGAAUUAUUAUUAUUAUUAUUAUGCGAAAAAAAACUAUAAAAUAAAAAAUAAAAAAUAAAAAGAAGAAAAAAAAGAUGUCCUAUUGUCUACUUUUUCAAGUGGGAAGAGAUCCAUGUCAAAAUGAUUUUCAGGAAAUUUGUUUGAGACCCGUCGUUUUUGAGAGAAACAUGCAUGUUCUGUCUUCAUCUUCUUCUUUCCUUAAUUUUUGACUUUCAAGAUUUAGGUAGUUUGAAAUAAAAAUCAUAAAUUAAAGAAAAAUAAUAAUCUCCAACAAAAUUAUAUAACUACCUAUACCUACCACAGUCUCCUGUCAUCAAUCAAUCAUCUAUAUUUUUUGUGGAAUUAAGAGAGAUUGCCAUAAAUUACUCAAUCCUUCUUUCAGCGUCAACAAUGAAUGGACUCCACAAAUGUGAUAUCACUGAAAUUUCUUCAAUAUUAAUAAAUGUAGCUCGAUUUAUUCACUAAGGACUUAAGCAUGAUAUUAUCCAAUUCAUAUUUAUAAAGAUUUUUAUAUAUUUUUAAAAUAAAAAAAGACUUUUAGAAGAAAAAAAAUUAAGCGACUGACUUUCAAAGACUUGACAGAUUUUUAAUAACUUUUAUAAACUUAUAUAUAGUCCCACAAUUAGAAGAGUUCUCCACUAAAGAUAUCCGCCUGCGGGCAUUUUUCUAAGACUACCGAUAUUGCAGUUCAAUGAUCAUAGCUGUCUAUUUUAGCUUCUGUUUCAACAGUCAUCUUUGCAUAAAAUCAUCCAUAUUGAAAACUAUUUGGUUAUAUAUAUAUAUAUCUAGAAUUUAUCGAAGCGUUUGCAAGAAAAUAAUAUGCCAAAAAGUAAAGAAGAUAAAAUAGUAAAACUAAUAUGAGUUUCAAAAGCAAAAUGACAAAAUGUUGACAAAAAGAAAAUGAAGGAAAGACCUCGUCCAGUGCCAUUAUGGACGGAGUGAUUGAAUACAACAGAAGCAAAAAGAGCCAUUUUCACAACAUUAAUGCUGAUAGAAAUAAGGCAUUCAAAGUUGAAUUGAACUUGGACACUGCAACUAGUCUUUGAAGGUUGAAUGACUUUCCUUACUACGCUAGUCAUUCAGUCAAUUCACUAUAACUUCGAAUCAAGGGCGGAAUCAGGAAUUUUUCAAUGAGUGAGCUAGCUACAGUUAUUAGCUUAAAAUUUAAUGAUAAUUUUUUUUACUAACAGUUUCUAUAGUUUUUCUAGAAAUAAAAGUAUACAUUAGAUCAUAUAAAUCACGCUAAUUGUAAACAUAAGAAAAAAGAAGAAAAAGAAGGAAUUAGAGCCAUAUUAUUCACGAAGGGGUGAAUUUUAUUUAGAAAAAUGUUUCUUUUUUGGAGAUACGUUAAUAAAAAAGGAUUAAAAUUGAUGUUUGGGACAAACUUUGACACCAAAUACAAAAUGUGGAAGACCUUUGACUAUACCUAUUGAUGUGUUAGGAUAUGCAAUUGUAUAUAUAUAUAUAUAUAUAUAUAUAUAUAGUUUAAAUAUUAGGCUAUAUAUGUGUAAUUAUUUUUUUCCCCAAAACUUUCCCUAGGCUAUCAGGGGCGGAUUCAAGAAUUUUUUAGAAGAGAUGCAAUAUUAAAAAGACUGAAAACUCAUUAAAAAAAAAAGUUAGACAAUAAAAUGCCCUUAUAAUUAAUCAAUAUUAUUAUCUAUUCAUAGAAAGAAAAAAAAAAUUACAAGCAAGCCACAAUUGUUGCCAACUUUAAUCAAUAUCAAUAUAAAUUAAUCUAACAAAAUAUCAAUAUGAAUUAAUCUAGUCAAAAUAAAAUUACAAUUUGAUUAACACAAAUACAAAGAGAAAAAACAGAAGGAAAAAAAAAUAAGAAGAGUGAUGCAGUGGCGUGAGAGCCGUCACCUUGGAUUGGGUUUGCAGCAGCGUGCAAUUGAAGAGCGGCUCUUCAAGUUUUAAGAAUUGGGAUUGAUACUUGCAAGAGGACUCCUUGUAUACACUGUUGCUUUUCCGUGGAGGUAAGGCUAUUCCAUCAGGUUUAUUAAUAUAAUUUUUUUCAACCUCCGGUUCAAAACAACGUCGUUGGGCCAGGAGUUUUAUAAAUAAAUAUAAAAUAAAAAAAAUAAAAAAAAGGCGUUGCACUGCUUGCAGCAACACAACGAUGCAAAGUAGAAGCUGCACUCAGGCAUUUCCACAAGCAGUUGGUGGGCAGCUUCAACGCAGAUCGGAGGAGCGAACUCCGCCACCUUCAAGGCAUUUUUCGACCAAAAACAGUGCAGCUGUAUCUCUUUGUGUCUUUAUAGGUCCGCCACUGCUUUGAAUCCUUACAUAUAGAUUUGAAUUUUAGGAAGAAAAAAUAAUAGUAGUAAUUAACGGCAUGUGUAUGCUACCAAACUUAUUCCAUGCAAUGAUAUGAUACCAUAAUGAUUAUAUUGAUUGAAAUAUAAUCAUCAGUCUCGAUCUCUUGGACUACAAGGGUUCAAGAGAUUUGUGGUCACUCACCGUUGAAUGUAAAUUCAACGGUUCACUCACUCUUGCACUCCUUUUAAGAAUUUUUUUUGAACCGUUGGCUGUUACAUUCAGCGGUGGGUGACCACAGUCUCUUGGACCCCUGUGGUCCAAGAGAUUGGGGUUGAUAUAAUCAUAUAACACAUGCAUAUAUAUAUAUAUAUAUAUAUCUGAGAGUUUCAGUUAAGAGAUCCCUUAAAUAAGCUUAUUUGAGGGACACGAUUAUAGGGCCCACAUAAACCGUCUAUUUUGUAGAUAUCCAUUCAAAGAUCACCUCUACAAAAAAAAUACUUGAAUCCGAUAUCAUUUGACCACUCAAUUGAAUUAUUGAAAUUUUAGUACUUUCUUGAAGCACCAUGCUCAUUGAUUUUAUAUGACACAAUUGGAUAUCAAAAUGGUUUCUGCUUUGUCUAAUUUUUUGCAAAGAUGGUCUAUGAAUGUAGACUUAAAAAAUAAAUGGUUUGGAUCAUUGAAAAAAAAAUUUCUCAGGGAACCUUAAAGGGUAAGGCCACUCCAAGCCUAGAAGUGGCUCCAAUAUAUAUAUAUAUAUAUAUAUAUAUAUAUAUGUAUAUAUUAAUAUUAGAAGGAAUCAAAUGCAGAAACUAUCCUAAUUCUAAUCCAUUACGCCACUAUCCUAAUUCAUAAACAAAGGAAGAAGAAAAAAAAAAACACAAGAGUUAUCUAUAUGUAAGGGUGGAUUCGGUUCGGCAACCGACUCGAGCAAGGAAAGCCGAUUACUGAACCGAAGAGAAGCAGAUUGCCUAUGCAUAAACUAUCCUAAUUAAUAUUCCCCCUAUUUCCAAGCCUUCAUCACUGGGUAUAAUUCCUGAUAAUAGGUACUUCAUUUUUUAUGAGCUUCACUAAAGAAUGCAACUAGUUUCUUCUCUUGAGACAAUAUAACACCUAUACUCAGUCCACUAACAACACAUUCAACCUAUCUUUUAUAGUGAAAUUCUGUGGUGAGGGUACCAUAUAUAGACCACUCAUAUGGACCUCCAUAUUAACCACAUGAUCAUUUCAUUAAACUUAAGUGAAGUUACUAUUCAGUUGAAUCAUGUGGCUAAUAUGAAGGUCCCAUCAAUGGUCCAUAUAUGACACCCUCACCAUAGAAUGACUCAUCUUAUAUAUAUAUAUAUAUAUAUAUAUAUAUAUAUAAUCCCCUUCUAUUAAGGGAUCCCUCAAAUAAUUUUAUUUAAGGGACACCCUUUAGGGUCCCUUAAAUUAUUUUCAACAAUCCAAACCAUCUAUUUUUCAAGUCUUCAUUCAUUAAUCAUUUUUGUGAAAAAUUAGACAAAUCGAAAAACGUUAAGACAUCUAAUUGUAACAAACAAAAUAGACGAACACGGUGCUUCAACAAAAGACAAAAAUAACAACCAUGUAAUUGAGUGGUCAAAUGGUUUCGGAUUCAAGUGAUUUUUUGCGGAAAUGAUAUUUGAAGAAAUAUAUAAAAAUUAUACGGUUUGGAUCAUUAAAAAAAAUAAUGUGUGGUGGGCCUUAUAAGGGUGUCCCUCAAAUAAUCUUAUUUGAGCGAUCCCUCAACUGAAGAGGAAAUCGAACACAGGACCUUGGUUGUAGGGAUAACUUCUCUUAACCAUUUGAGUUACAAGCCCCUUGCAAAUAUGAGAUUAUUUUUUCAAUGUUAUUUCAAGUACUCAUGAUUGAGUAAACAAGCUAACAAAUGUAUCAUAAGUUAAAUCUCGUGGCUACAAUAGCGGAUCCAGGAAUUUUUAUUGGGAUAGGCUAUUUUUUUUUUUAUUUUUUUUAUAGAGGAGAUAUAUUAUAAGACUUUUUUCUCUUGAAACAAAAAUGUAAAUAAAAUUUUAUAAAUCAAACAAAGCCACAAUACGAGCAAAUAUAACACAAAGAAGUACAAAAUAUAAAUAAAUAGCAAACAAUCUCAAAAAAAGGUUCUCGUACAAAACUAUCCUUAUCAACAAAUCUUAAAACAAUGGUCAUUUGCUUUCUAUUAGAUACAUUUUUUGCUUUAUCAACAAGAUACAAUAAGUUGAUUCCCCAAAAAUACUAGACAUUAAAAAUCAUAUAUGCUAAUUAAUAAUUCAAGUUGCAAAAAUAAAACAUAUAUCAACAAUCUCCCAAAGUUUUCACUCAAACCCUAAAUCAUAAAAACUUAACAACAACAAUUAAAAUUGGAAUUGAAUAUAUAUAUAUAUAUAUAUUAUAUUUUUUUUAACUUAACAAGAUUGAAGAACCCACUCAAGAUAGGUUGGUACAAUUUUUGGGAGGAUGAGAGCUAUUUCCUUUAGGUUCUCAAGGUUCAAAUAUGGCGUUUUGGGUGGCUAGAAGAAAUUUUUUGAUGUUUGCUCUAUGUGGGCGUAGCCCAAUAUCAGUAUGAUUAGUAGCUCAAGUUGAUAGAGCCUUAGCGUGAGUUUUGCUUCUAAUCAAAUUUAUGUAGGUUUUGAUUGGAUUGACGUUUAUUAUUUCCUAUAUGCUUCAAGAGUAGGCUUAUUUUAAAUAAAGGACUAAGCUAUUAUUAAUUUAUUAAAAAAAAGAAAAACAAUGCAUGUGUGGACUGUAUUUAUUUGGUGCAAUGGACUAAUAUUUAUCUGAGUAGGAAUAAACCUAUAAUUAUGAGAUCAUAUUUAAUAUUUCAUAAAUGUUCCUCCCCACUCCAGCCUAGCCUUAGGUCCGCCUUUGCAUGGCUAAUAAGUAUUAAACAAACUAAUAUUUAAUUAGUGAUGUAAGAAGACAAAUCAAACUCAUGUAAUUAAUCUCCCAUUAUGUUUACCAUGGACAAGAAAAGUAUUACCAGUUACAACUUGCAAAAUAGAAGUAAAAAUCUUGAAUUCGACUUGUACUCAGAAUAUGCUUUCCGCAUAUAUAUUGUGUAAAAGCUUGGACCACAAGAGUUCAUAUGAGUUCACUAUAAAAUGUUCGGUUGUCCUUUGUUCUUUUGUAAAGGCAAAGUGAGAAACACUCACAAGGCUUGAACCUUAACCAAACCCUUGGAAGUUGCUUUGCUGGCAAAAAAAAAAAAACACCCUUGGAAGUUAAUGGUUUCAAGUGUGGCUAAAAAGGCACUGUAAAAUUUGUAUUGAGUGUCAUUUAGUUGGGUUUGUAGGCUUUUAUUCUUUUGGCCGGAAAUAGACUCUAAGACUUACUUGGCGGCACCUACAAUUUUCAGAGAGUCAUGAGGUUCACUUGUAAAGGAGAAAAAGUUAAAAAGUAAGUACAACUGUACAACUUCUAAAUUACCCAACUCCUAAAAAGAAUAUGGCUAUUGACAAAGAGGUGGGUAUAGCUACAACCCAAAAACAUUAAAGAAUGUUGAGUCUAUUCAUCCGUUACCAAUUAGUUUUGAGUUGGAUCUUGUGCAUCAUAUUUCAAGUCAAAACAACUAGUUGAUAUUUUGACCAAAGGUCAAGCAAAUGAAAGGCUAGGUUGUUGUUAAGCUCAAACAUGUUAUUUACUAUUUUUCCCAUUUACAUAUCUUAAAAAUACAAAAUUCUAUUUUGUGAUUUUUGUCUUGCAAAGCAGUUUUUCAAAAACCGUUUUUUGUAAAACGUUAUCAGACCAACCCUUAGAAUUCGGUCUCUCUUCGUUCAUCUCUAUUAUUCUCAAGUAUCUCUUGAUUGGGUCUCAACUAUGGGUAAAUUAGUCAUACUAAGCCUUCAAUUCUUGUUUCUCCUUAAAUAAGUCAAUUGCAAUACCGAGAUAAGCUUAGGAUUCAUGGCCAAAUAUAAUUUCUAGCAACUUAUUCAACUAUUUAAACGGACUAAUGUGAACUUGAUGUUAUUAACUCAUUUAUAUUAUCACACGUCCACAUGUACGGUGAUCAAUAUAAUGUGUUGAAUGUUAAGUUCGUCAUUUAAUUAGGCUAGAGAUAUGAGAUCAGAUUCGUAGUAUUAGACCGGUUUAACAACGAGGCCUGCAUUUAUUAACAGCUAAGAUCAUUCUUGAAGAUUUUACUCUUGACCAAAUAAGUAACACGUUAUUGUUUUCUUUUUUUAACCCCAAGGAAAUUUAAAGCAUACCUCUCAUAGAGCAUAAGGUAGAAACAAGCUUGGAAACUGUUAAAUAGAAAUUCAAUCACAUAUAAUGCUGUGAUAUUAUUUUGCACUGAUUUGUUUUCUAUUUUAGGAAAACUAAUUACCACAUCAUCGCAGUAUAUUCAUGAGAUCUCCAAUAAUUCAAUGUGGAAUUCAACUUUAGAAGUUACUUUUCAAGUCAACUUAGCAAUGAAAUUAUAGUUUUACCCUUGUAAUUUUCCAACUGAAAUAUUUAUAAACCAAAAUAUUAAAAUUUAAAAAAAAGAUUUCACUGCUUGCACACCUUACCAAAUAUGGCAUGAGCUCGGCGACAAUGCCAGAGUAGCUAGAAAGGGCAGGAGAUAGGUUUUUUUUAUUUAUUUAUUUAUUUUAUUUUAUUUUUUUUAAAUUAACAUUUUUAAAAAAAAAAUUAUUGAGAUGUUCUUUUAUUGGGAAAUGACAAUGCUGCCCUUUUGCAUUAUCAAGCAGCUUGUUAUUAUUAUUAUUGUUUUUUUGUUAGAAUAUAUACCUUGUAAUUUGCAACAAGCAAGUAAAAGCUGGACAAUAAUGAAGUCACUCAGACUUGGAGUUGGAACAGUUGAAAGUGUGAGGAUUCUCUUGAUUGCAAAAGGAUAUCUACCUAAAAGGGAGAGUGAAUUAGAAUACAUAUAGUCUGGCCAAAAGAGAAAUAAAUAAUGCUAAUAAACAGAAAUAAAUAUGAAAUUCCAAAUUGGGCCAAAACUGACUAUAAAAGACCCCCCCUUUCUCUCUCUGUCCUUCAUACUCUCUCUCAGCACUCUCAGUCCUGUCUCUGCUUCAUUUUGACAAGAGGCAGAACAAGUUAAUAGUUGGCACAGAUCUUUGAGAGAGAGAGAGAGAGAGAGAGAGAGAGAGAGAGAGAGAGAGAGAGAGAGAGGCUUAGAAGAAGGGAAAGUGUAGAUUUUUUGUUCUGUACUUUCCACUUCUGAGUGAAGAGGAGAAAACAAGAGAGCAAAUCUGUAUUGCCUCAUAAAUUUCCCUCUCUGGGUUUUUUUUUCUUGAAAUCAAAGGAUUUUUCAGCCCAUUGUUUUCUGUCUUGCCUUAUUGAAGAAUUUGAGAGCCGCACUUUAAUCCUAUACAAAACCCACUUCCCCACAUUGGUCACAUUUCAUUUAAACCAAAAAAGUGAGUGAAAGAUCUGGUAGUUAGUUUUGUUUUGUUCAUUAUCUUCUCAUCUCUUGCCUUUGCAGAGUGAGAGAUAUGGCUGAGACCACAACCAAAGUUCUGAUACCAGAAUCAUUUCAAGGGGGCACAUAUGACAUUGCAGGCCAAAUGGGGCUGAUUUGGGAGCUAAUCAAAGCGCCAUUGAUAGUACCUUUGCUCAGAAUUUGUGUCUACAUUUCCUUGGCCAUGUCUCUCAUGCUCUUCUUUGAGAGGCUUUACAUGGGAAUUGUCAUCAUUUUGGUCAAGCUCUUCUGGAAGAAACCAGAGAAGCGCUACAAAUAUGAGGCCAUUCAGGAGGACCUGGAACUGGGCAGCUCCAAUUUCCCUGUGGUUCUAAUCCAAAUCCCUAUGUUCAAUGAAAGAGAGGUACAUGCUGCUUUGUUAUCAAAAUCUCUCUGUUUUUGUUUUCGUGUGUUCUUAGAUUUCACAAGCAUUGUUGUGUGCUGUUAUCUGUUUGUGACAGAAAAAACCUUAAAGUAUGGUGCUUUUUGUGUGUUCUCUUGGGUUUUUGGGUCAGGUCUACAAGAUCUCUAUUGGUGCUGCAUGUGGGCUUUCAUGGCCGUCCGAUCGUCUAGUGAUCCAAGUCCUUGAUGAUUCAACUGACCCUACAAUCAAGGUAAACUUUCCUAAAUUCAGAAAACAACCCAUCAUUUGGAUCACCCCACUAAUUAUUCUCCCACAUUUAUCGUUAAAAAUGUAAUCUUUUCUUCAUCAUUUUUCCUUCCAACCACCACCGCCAACAAAUCUCAUCAUUCUAGUGACAUGGGUCUUUUCAAUGUGUUUGUUAAAAAGCCACAGAGAAUGAAGUAGCCCAAUUAUUGAGUUUUCUGGCGUGACCCUUGUGGUUUCUGACAUGGGUUUUGUUUCAUUUUGGCCAUUUGACUCGUCGCAUUAACAAAAUGGGCAAGUGGGUUUUUAAUAAAACUAUCAAAAACUGACGUUUUUGCAGCAAAUGGUGGAGCUGGAGUGUCAAAGGUGGGCAAGCAAAGGCAUAAACAUAAGGUACCAAAUCAGAGAAACCAGGGGAGGCUACAAGGCUGGGGCUUUGAAAGAAGGCUUGAAGCGCAGCUACGUGAAGCACUGCGAGUACGUGGCCAUCUUCGACGCCGAUUUCAGGCCUGAACCAGACUAUCUCCGGCGAGCCAUCCCUUUCUUGGUCCACAACCCUGACAUUGCUUUGGUUCAAGCUCGAUGGAGAUUCGGUAAAUUAAUUAUAAUUCAUUCAUUUUUCUGAUUAUUAUUAUUAAUUAGAUUAUUAUUAUAUGUUCUUUUUUAACGUACCCUUUAAUUGCGUUUAUUAAAUUUUUCAGAGUGUCGGUGGUCUGAUUUUGUGGAUUUUUCUUUUUGUUUUUCCUUUCGAGUAUGUAUUUGGGCUUUUAUUUUUUCUUUUCCGUCGGCGGGAUCAGUUUGUGUGUACAGUGUGCAUGGGACAAUGGGUCUUCCAGAGUACAAACCAUCAAUCACGGGGUCGGGCCCACACAGAGCAGCCCUUCUUGGCCAUCUCUGAUUUUGACACCUGUUUGUCUGCUAGCCCUUCAUCAAGGGCUGCUUGGUACCCACGUCUGGAAAUAUUAGAAAGUACUUGUCAUAGACGGAAGUGUGAUUCAUGUUCAAUUUGUCAGUUUUAGUGCCAUUAAUCAGUGCUUUUCUUUUCUAGAUUACGUUUUCAUUGGCCUCAAGUAGAAAACAAAAACAAAAGUCCAACAAUUUAAUUUUGGACUGAUGUUUUCUUGCCAUCUAGCUUGUUAUUAUGUGGAAAUAUUAAAGUGAUGAAUCGGUUGAUUCACAGUCUAUCAACAUAACGUGUCCAACAUUCACUAGAAAUUUUGAUUCCACGUCGUCUCUCGUAUUUAUGGGAAAUGACGUAAGAGCUCCUAACAUAGGAUUAGGAUCCCUCACUCAAGUAGCAAAGUCAGUGUCACCUUCUUCUUGUGAACCGGCAUGAUCAGAUGCUAGAAAUGCGGGGUAGGUUUGUCAUUUUGCUGCACGAGAACAAGGACGGUAAUUUUGUGACAAUAAGUUGCCUUAUGUAAACCCCGGAUUGUACGGUUCAAACGGUCAAAUAUUUCGUAAGCGGCCGGAUCAGAGUGAGUUUCCGGAAACUUGAGUGACAAACGUGUCAAUUUACGGACUCAAGAUUUUUAUCCUCUAGUGCACUGCUCACGUGGUUACUAAAACUAGGUGGCACCACAGUAAGCCUUGCGGUGGACCCACAUUUUCUCUGCUCCAGCCUUUACCGACACUUGGUUUGUCGUGCUGAUGCUAGCGUGGCCAACCUUCAUUUGUGUCACGUGACCACCAGACCAGUUCCCUACUUUUAAAUGCUUUUGGAGUUUCUUUUCUAUUUUUGAUGGGGUCCACAUCUUUUUAAUCUUUUUAAUCAUUUAGUGCAUUCACAUUAUUUUUUUCUUUUUUAUAUUAGUAAUAAUCUAAAAUAUUCUAAAUUAAUCUAAUUUAAAAAGAAGGGUAUCCGAAUUUGAGUGCAAGAGGUGACCUAACUGCCUUGGCCAACUUGUCUAACCCACGUUUGCACAUUCAGAUUAUAAAUAUUAUGUUACAUGUACAUUUUUCUUUUUCUUUUUUUUUUCUUUUUUGGGGGUGAGAUAAAAUUGUUUAUGUGGUUUUGCAGUGAAUUCGGAUGAGUGCUUGUUGACCAGAAUGCAGGAGAUGUCAUUGGAUUAUCAUUUCACGGUUGAACAAGAAGUUGGGUCAGCAACACAUGCCUUCUUCGGUUUCAAUGGUAAACCUAUUUUUAACAAAUACCACUUAUGGUCAAAUUUGAAUUAUCAUCCAUGUUGCCCUUUUUUUCUUUUUUCUUUUGUCAAAAAUAUAUAUCUUGAUUUGUCCCUGUCUAUUAAUUGGUUGACAUGUGCAAAGUGCUGGUUCAGAGUUUCCAAUUGGUGGGGACUAAUUGGCAAAUAUGUACAUAUAGUUGGUAUGUGAGAGUGACUUGAACAUAUGAGAAAAAUAGAACAUUGACCAAGUCUGCAAGACUUAGACUUAGCUUUAGACUUGCAGGGAGGGACGUUACACAGUCAUUAUCAUGAUCUUUCUUCAUCAAAGUUAUGUUUUAAUAUUUUUUUUUAUCAUAAAUGAAAUUGGUUGACUUCUAGUUCCUUCAUUCCUGGCUAAAAUCAUGCCAUUGCCAAAGUUUUGAAUUUUAAAAGAGACAAUGUAUAUGGUCUUCAACAGUCAAACUGGAUAAAUUGAAAAUUUGAACUCAAGUGAUUGUCAAGUUACUAAUCAGACGCAGUAAUUACUAGUUACUUCUUGUUAAAGUAACUUGAUAAAGCAUUGCAUAUAUUUUUGCUCAUAUUGCACUGCAUAUUAGUAGUUUCUUGCUAAAAUGGUAAUGCAUAUUCUAAUUACAACUGCAACAUUCAACUCAGAGUAUUUGCAGUUUUGAAUUUGACAUAUGAAAACAUUGCAGGGACCGCUGGUGUGUGGAGAAUUGCUGCUAUUAAUGAGGCAGGCGGGUGGAAGGACCGGACGACAGUGGAGGAUAUGGAUCUUGCUGUCCGGGCUAGUCUCAGAGGCUGGAAAUUUUUGUACCUUGGUGACCUUCAGGUAUUUGUUAACCGAAUAUGUAUGUACAUUGAACAAAUCAAAUGGUUCAUCCAUAGGUGAAGUCUAACUACAAUAGGGAUGACAUGAACACAAUUUCUGAUCUUUAUCUAUGUUUCAGGUGAAAAGUGAACUUCCAAGUACUUUCAAUGCCUUCCGUUUCCAGCAGCACAGAUGGUCUUGUGGUCCUGCUAAUCUGUUUAGGAAAAUGGUGAUGGAAAUAGUAAAAACUAAGGUGAGUUCCUUUUAAUUAUAUUACUCACUUGUGCCCCUAAUGCAAUUUCUUCUUCUUCCAUCUUCUUUCUUCAUAUGUUAUAAUUAUGUUUCUUGUAUGUGUGUUGCAGAAAGUUACAUUGUGGAAGAAAUUUUAUGUCAUAUACAGUUUCUUCUUUGUCCGAAAGAUCAUAGCCCACAUGGUGACCUUCUUCUUUUACUGCGUUGUACUUCCUCUGACCAUUUUGGUUCCUGAAGUUUAUGUUCCAAUCUGGGGAGCAGUUUAUAUUCCUUCCAUCAUCACCAUUCUAAACUCAGUUGGAACUCCAAGGUCUUGUAGACUCUACACUUGAUUUCUUCAUUAAUUACUUUUAUUACAUGUUCUUCAAUCUUAUGAAAGUAAUCAAUCUUCUUCUUGAAUUUAUGCAGGUCGAUUCACCUGUUGUUUUACUGGAUCCUUUUCGAGAACGUGAUGUCUUUGCACCGGACCAAGGCAACUUUGAUUGGCCUGCUAGAAACAGGGAGGGCCAAUGAGUGGGUUGUCACUGAAAAACUGGGAGAUAUUGUCAAGAACAAAGCAGCAGAGGCUGCCAAGAAACCAGCCCCAAAAUUUUUCAAAAGGCCAAAGUUCAAGUUUGGCAACAGGUAAAAUUUCGUUAAACACUUUUAUUCUUUCUACUGCAGACUUGCUUAUUUUAUUUUUCCAUGUGCAAUGUGCAUAGAAAUUUGUAACUAUUUGCAUUGACACCACAUCUACACUGGCACACAGAGAGCUCUGUCUUUUCUGCAUAACUUUAAGCCUUGGCUAAAAAACCAAAUCACAUGCACCAUAUGUUUUAAUUAUUUGCCAACAUUAACCUAAUCCCACAAGUAAGAAUAAUUAUUUCUGUUUUUACCCUUUUCAUUACUGGAGAUCAGAAUCUUUGCAUUGGUCUAUCCACCUAAGUAUCAUAUAAAUCAACUGCUGCUGGCAUAUGACAGCAGAUGAGAGUUUAUUAAGAGUAAACAUGUGGGAUUAGGAAAAUAAUAUUAUCUAUUGGUGUUAUGAAACCAUCCCAAGCCUGUUCUUUAUUACCUUCUGCUUUGUCCUUUAAUGUUUUUUCUUAUUCUUUCCAACACCGUUUCCCCUAAUAUGCAAUCUUUUAUAUCUGUUGAUCCUUGGUUAAACAUUAACAGGCUUCACCUCUUGGAGCUGGGAUUUGGGGCCUUUCUGUUCGUCUGUGGAUGCUAUGAUUAUGUGCAUGGGAAGAACAACUACUUUGUAUACCUCUUCCUCCAAACCAUUACGUUCUUGAUCUGCGGAUUUGGCUACGUUGGAACCAUCAUCCCCAGUUCUUAAUCAGCAGCGCUUCGUAGUUAAAUUAUAUAGAUUAGUUGACACAAUCUCCCCUAUUGUUUCUCAUGCCAUGCCAGCAUAUUUCUCAUCUUCAACAAAGAUUUAAGUAAGUAGGGUUCUAUGAGCAAAUGUUGGUUGCAACUUGGAUUAUUUUCAGCUGAGCAAAAUUCAUCUUGCAAUGGAAAAAAAAAAAAAAAAAAAAAAGGUUCUUCCUGCACCUUCCUCGUCGAAUCUCAUGUCACAGUUCAAGUAUACCUGGAAAUUUUCAGAGAAAAAACAAAUGCUGAUAGCUGAACACAUUAUACAGAGUGAAUUGUCAAGGAAGAAGCAGACGUCAUGGUUUUUUUUAUAUAAAUGUUUUUCAAGGACAAGGAAAUAGUACUAUUCUCUUUAAAUAGAUUGCUUGUAAUUGUGAAGUUUUGUUCUUCUUUCUUGGGUUUGCCAGCUAUAGUUUUUUUUUUCCUUGGAUUGUGGGGAAUAAGCUCCUGGAUGAAAAAAAGAAAAAAGAAAUUUAGUUGAAGUUGUAGUCUUGUAAUCAAAAUUUACUUAUCAUUUGAUAAUCAUCAUAUAUUCAUAUGCUUAGUCAUUUUAGAUUGUAUCAGAUUGAUCAACUCCAUUGAUUAAUAAGUUUGACAGUCUUUGUAAGGCUGCCAAUGGUUUCCUUCGGCCCCUUCAUCUGAAAUUAUGGUGGCAGAAAUGGUUAAAUUAUUUCUGAUAAAAAAAAAAAAGGUUAAAUGAUUCAUGGAAUUCUGCUGAAUUUUAUAUGAACCAUACUCCUUUCUGUGAUUCUUGAUAGCCAGUGUAUGCAACACAAUUUCUAAAGUUUGGAUAUAUGCACGUUGCCUGUCUGACUCAGAUUCAGAGCUUUGUCGUUCCAAAGGCCCCACUUGCAUAUGUAAAUCAUGAGCUGUGACAUAAAGGCACUAGAACAGAAGCAGCAUCCAAGAAAAUUGAAAUUCAUCGGUUGACUAUUCACACUGAUUAUUUUUACUUUAUGCUGAGGGAUAUGCUUUGGGUCACUGGCCUUAGGGCGUGAGAGAUUCUUAGCCGUUAAUGAAAAUGAGAUUUACAAUGUAUAAACGAUUAGAUUCCGGCCAUUUGUACAUGGGAGACUGAUCUUAACAAAAAAUUUAAAUCUCUACUAUAUAAAAUAUGGAUAACAAAAUGAUGAAGAUAUGUGAUAAUUGACCGCUUGUCUUGUUAGAUUGUAAAACUGAAUCAUUAGUCAUGUUGAUUGUUUCUUGAAAGUGUGAUCCAAAUUCACGAUCAUACAAUAUAAAAAUAUGUAUGGCAAGAAAAUAUUAAUCGUUAUAAUAUUACUCGAGCUUGGGAAAUUUUUAAUCGUUGAUGGGUAUGAGACUCACGUUAGCAAAUGUAUCAACAAUUAUACUUGCAUCUAGACACGAUCUUGUUAUAAAGUUCUUAUGUUGUCAGACUAUAAAACUGCUUCAGUAAUCAUGUUGAUUCUUUCUUAAAUGCGUGAUACAUACCCACAAUUGGACAGCGUAAAGAUAUGUCUCGCAAAAGACAUGUCUCAGAAAAAUGCUAAGCAUCUAUAAAAUUACAGUAGAAUCUAUAACCAGUGUUGUUAAGGCAACUGCUUUUAUAAGGUUUAAGGUAACAAAGCGUCACCCAGUCACUCACCUCACCAUCUGCCCUAAACCUGCCCCGACAAGUAGGGCAGGACAUUCUGGACCAUGUCACUUUUCAUGCCUGUCUCAAUCUUUUUUUUUUUUCUUUCUUUGAUGCGAUCAAUCAUUAAUUUGUAGCCUGUGAUGAUAUGUAUAAUUUCAUCACUGUCCAGCUUUACUGCCUUGUUAUAAUUAAUCAGUUAAAAAGGAUAAGCAAAAGAGGUUUAAACUUGAGAUUAAAGUAAGCAUAUGAUGAUUAUGGUUUUGGGUUUACUUGCAUUUGAAGUGUCAUUAUCUGUUUAAACUUUUUCUUUACUUGAAUCAAUGUGUGUCUGCACUCUGCAGUGCAGGCCUUGUGAUAAUAAUAAUGUGUAUACAUUAUAAUAACAGGGAGGAGAUUAUAUUUUUUAUAUAUUUUUUUUAAUGCAGAUAAAAUAUACAAUGGAAACUUCGAAAGCAAGUUGCUCUGAUAGGUUUGUCAUACCAAAGAGAUAAUAUUAACAUGGCAGAAAACAAUGGGCUAAUUGGAGGAAAAACCCUCCCUUCUUUCAUCUAUCUUUUUGGUCAAUUGACAAAGUUACCAUAUACUUAUAAUUUCAUUUUGAUCUUUUAAUUCAGUUUUUAAGUUAUGUGGUUCUUCAAUUAUGUGUCGUUUUCGUUCUUAUCGUCAAUCUCGUUAAUUUUUUUUAUUUAUGAUUAUUAAGAAUAAAAUCAUACAUUUCAUCCAUCACUUAUAUUCAAUCUUAUGUAUAAGAAACUCAUGGUUGUAAAUAGAAAUAAAUUUAAAUACAAGAAAAUAUAUUGAAUUUUUUUCUCUCUCUCUUUUGGGGGGUAGGGUAGGGAGCAAUCAAACUUAGCAUAUACCACAUAGUUAUUCUUUUCUCCAUUAUUAUGAUGUUCAGAAGAAUGAACAAAGCAUUCUGGUAAUGCAGAGCUGGCCAUGUUCAAUUUAGAGGGUGAGUGCCCACUUGCUCUCUAUGCUAAAUACAGCAGGUCUUCAUAUUGCCAACUACACUUUGUCAGAAAAUGUCACCAUGUGGUCUUUUGUGACAUUAUUAUUACCAAUCCACAAAUGGUGUGGUUCCUACCAAACUCCUAAGUUCUAAGCCAAAAAGCUUUUGUUCCUACCAGACUUGAUCCCCACUCCUAACUCCAAACUCCUAUAUCUACAUACUCACCUUUUCUUUUUCUUUCUUCUUUCUCUCCUUUUUGUAACAAAUCCACCUAGACUUACUUGAUCAAAAGGUUUUCUUUAGAUCAAAUCUAGCAAAUAAUACACAUUGUUCAAGUUGUAAUGUGAUCAAUUAAGUUUCUUAAACGCAACCGUCUAUCCAUAUUUACGUAACUGAGUAUAAUUUACUAGUGUCGAAAUCAUUUAUGCGUGUGGAAGGCUUAUGCUAAUAAAAUCUGUGAUAAAAAAAGAAGGAUAACCAACAAAAACUCUGAAAAUGGUAGUUGAGUUGAGAGAGCAAAGAAUGGCAUAAAUGAGGUGAACGGGCUUUUGGAAGUGUCGGCGGCCGUAUUGAGAUUUAACUUCAACAUAUUGUAUGGUCCAUAGUUUGAUUCCUUUAUGACCUAAACAUAAAUAAUUGAUUUCCUUACGAUAUCAUAUUUAUAUAAAGUGGCACAUGCCUAUACCAGAUGCUUACGUCAGUGUAUAGAUCACUUGUCUUUUUCAACUUCCAACCGUUAAGAUUUGCAAAAAUUAAAAAAGAAGAAAAGGCUAAAUGGGUUUCUAAAUAUUUGGUUCCACAGUUUCUCCAACCGACACACACAGAAUUAAAGGCAGCCGGCAGUCCAAAUGCAAUUUAGUUUUUCUUAUUUCUUUCACCAAUUUAACAAGUUAGCAUUUGCCAACGGGUCUAGCUUAAAGUUCUUAGGUUAAAAUUAUAGUUGUGUGUGUGAGAAAAAUCUCUUUUUAAUUUAAAUUUUUUAAUUUAGACUAUUAUUUGUAUUAAAAAAAUAAAUAUUUUAUUUAUAUUACUUGUUUGGAAGGUUUGCUUAGGAAUUUCUUCAGCGUCUCCCCCCGAUCAUAUGUACUUAUAAAAUUUAAUAUGUCAUAGUCAAAGACGUUAACCUGUCUGGCUCAUAUUAUAGGUAGGUAUAAAAGUAGGUAUUUCUUUUCUAAAGUGAAAUGUUACAAAACCCUUUAAAACUAUUUCGAUAUUUAGACAUGUAGAAUGUGUGUUGAAAUUAUACUACAGUAAUUCAUCACCAUCACGUGUAUUGAUCGUAGAUGUAUUAUAAAUUUCACGUGCAUCAACGGUCAGAAAACGUCCAUGCUUACGUCUCUAAUUUGUCAAUAGAUUAUGUGAUUAGUUGGUGAGGGGUCUCCUCAUAGUCACACACAUACAAUUGCUAUGUGCUGGCUUGGGAUAAUUGGUAUUUGGAUUGAGUCUUGUCUUUAUUGACCAUUGCCCCUCAAUUAUGGAAUUCAAGCGUCAAUUCUAGCAUUGGCAUGGGGUCGGCCCCAAUUUAAUAAAAUUCCACAUGUCUCUCUCUUUCAAUCUCUCUCUCUCUCUCCAUCAUUUUCCUCUUUUUUUUGUUUAAGUACAAACGAUACUGGGGAGGGAGAAAUCGAAUCUAAAAUCUCAAGUGAAUGAGUAGAUGUUCUUAGCAAUUUGAACUACAAACUCCUUGCCACCGUCUUUCCUGUACAAGAGCUGUCACAUAAUAAAUAGAGAACUUUAGUUGUGCAUGUGAUUUUGUUUUUGUGGUUGGACCAAAUCCUAUACAUAUAAGUAACACAGAAAUUAAGCGGAUCUAAUCUUAAGAAGAAGUAUAUAAAGGUUGACACUUGACACAAUGAGAACAAGCAUGUAACAUGUUGAGUUUGAAUCUAUGAAAUCUGUGAGAUGAUGAUGGUGAUGAUGUGGGAAUAUAUGGCAAAAAGAGGGAACCAAUAGUCUAGAGCCACAUCAUCUCAUCCCAUUCCAUCACACAUCGAUCUGCAAUGAAUAAAAUAAAACUUAUAAGAGAGUGAUUAACGGUAAGGCAUGUGUAGGGAUCACCAUUCACCAAUGGUGAAGCAGCAUGUCCAACACCGAGAAACAGACGAGAGAGAGAUUUACAAACAAAAUCCUGAAAUAAACGCAGAAAAGGAUGCCCAAAAGUCCAAUUUUCCUGCUGGAAUUAACAUGCUUGCACACGAUUCUGACCUUGCCCUACGUGUUUUUCUUUAUUAUUAUUAUUUAUAAAUCGAUUGUCUGCAUUCAUUUUCUAGGGGAAAAAGAAAGGUGGAAAAGAAAAAGGAGGAUAUCAUUUUGUUGACCAUGUGAUUUGAGGUGGAAUGGUUGAUACUAAUUUCAGGCAUCAAUUGGGAUUAGUGGGGGAAGUUGACAUAAGUAGUUGGUGGAUAUUUUUUUAUUUUUUUUAUUUUUUUAAAAGUGUUAAGUAUAAAUUUUUUAAAAAGAUUGGAAAAGGCCAUAACCUUAUCUUGGACUUGGACUAUAAGAACAAGGACUCUAACUCAAACCAACCCGAAUUGUACAGCUCCAAGAUCCAACCCAAAUGCUCAUAUUAUGCAUUACAUCCCUCAAAGUUCAUAUCCUCUUACAAUACCCAGUUCAGUUUUUGUUCUUUUGGGCCUUGUGCCCUCACAUGUACCCAAAAAGAUAAAAAGUACAAAUGGAAAUUGAGAAUUCAGUAGUUGUAUACUAAAAAAUUAACAAAUAAAAAGAUUUGAGCUCUGCUUAUAAAGUGAAAUCAUAUGGGUAUGAAAAAACCAAAACCAAAAAGUUUCAGGACAGGAAGAAUUUUAAAGGUUUCAAAAACAAUUAGAACCAAUAUGUUUCUGAUAUACAUAAAUCAUAUAAUCACAAGGAGAGUCAAGUUAAUUUUUUUCAAUACUCAUCGUUUUAAGGAGUGUUAAGAUUUCAAAUUCUAAGAUUAAGACAAAAUUCUUCCAAUCUAAUGUGGCAGUGGUAAAAAGUUAUUGUCAAUUGCAACUCUCUCAUCUGUUAUGUCUACUAGUUAUGGGGCUGUGACAGCACCAACAUUGCUAAGUUGUUCAUCGAAUCUAAUAUUGUCCGAAAUUGAUGAAAAGUUGGCUCAGGGACUUCAACUUGUAACUGACUAGCAGAGUAAGCCUUACUAUUCAAGUUAGGACAUCAUAAUAAAUAGCUUCCAUACCCAUACAUCCUCACCAGGAGAAUGAGCUUCGAUGAACCUCAGCGUAAUUCCAACCGAGCUCUACAGAAAAAAAACAGACAAAGUCUAGAGACGGACUGGAGACCACCAGAAGAACAGUGGUUCUGAAUCUUCUGAUGAGGCUGCAAGUAAAAACUAAGAUGGCACUCAAUUCUUCAGGCGUGUUUUAUAUGAAUGAUGUGGAUCAACACCUCUAUGUUGUUUAGCUACUUAAUCAGCUUAGAUCAGUCCGGGCGGAGGAAGUUUGAUAUUGGCAUAUUAGCUGCUCCGAAACAAAUGCAUCUGUGAAAAUUAUAUUUACGCAUUUCACUCGCUAACAAAUAUGUAUUUUCAACUGUACUCAUCUGCCAGAAUUUCAAGAAUUCAAUUCCAUUAUCAACUACCUUUCCCACUGCCUAUACGAGGAUGGUAUUUUUGUCCACAUAUAAGUGCUCCUUCAGAAUUUCUCUUAGGUACUCUAGCUGCUCAAAACCACCUUGACGUUCUUCCCACUACAAGAAACAGAAAAUAAUCAUUCUGUUAAAAAGCACAACUAGAAACCACUCUUAUCCAAUAAACAUGCAAGAAGUUUGCUAUUGAUGAACCAGAUUUCAAUAUUUAGGCAUGACUAAGAAUUCUAUUGUUGGCAUGAGACAACCUUCUCCGAAAACCUAUAUGCUUAUCGUCAGCCUCAUUUAUGUUUACACCUUCUAGUGCAGAGGAAUUUGUUCCCUAAAUACUGUAGUGGUACUGAAACUCAGAUAAAUCUGUACAUGAUUGCAGAGGAAUUUGUUCCCUAAAUACUGUAGUGGUACUGAAACUCAGAUAAAUCUGUACAUGAUUGAAUCAAGCUGAUCUUCGGCAUGGGCAUGAAUAAAGGUGAGCUAUGGUCUCAACAUGCCUAGGCACAAAUGCGCAGCAUAGAAAAACUAAACUAGAAAAACCUUCAAAGUAAAGAACAAAACAUAGAGCUUGUGCAUGUGUGUUCGCGCGUGUCUGUUAAGGUGAUAAUUCAUGAUGUGAGAAGUGAGAACUCACCUCUUGAUGAGAUAACGACACAACUUUCCAACCAGCAGCAGUUAUGUAGCGCCUUUUUAGCAUAGUAUGUCCCAAGGGCACCCCUGUAUGAAGCAGAAGGAUAUCAAUUGAAUAGUAACUGGGGGACUAAGAGUAGUCAAUGAUUCAUUUGAACACACGCACAAAGAAGAUGCUGCAAUAUUAUGUGAAGGAUGCUCACCAGUAUUUCUUGAGAAAUGCGUUGGGCCAUCAAUCUCCAUAGCAACCUUCUUAUCAAUCAAUACAGCAUCCAAAGUGUACCCAUCCACAACAUAUUCUUUGACCCAAUCGAGACCAGUGCUAACAAGAAGACGGGCAACUUCCCUUUGAAAUGAUGAUGUCAUUUUCUGAUUAAAUCUCUUAGUUUUACCAGCACGAGCAAUUUUCUCCUCAAGAUCUUCCCUUAAAGAUAACUGAAGGUGUGGGUACUCAAGCUUCAAGCACUGGUUCACUAGAUGAACCUGAGAAGCAAACAUGAUAUCCUCCCUAUACUGCUCUGAAAUCCUUUGUUCUUCAAAUUGGCUCAGAGUUCUCCACACAUGGGAAAAGAAAGUCCGAUCCAUUUGUCCAAUAACAGCAUAAGACCAAGCUAUAUUCCCAAGCUGAUCCCUUCUGAAACUGAGAACAGGGGAGCUUCUAACGCCAUCAAAGUCAAGAUCUCCUAUGUUGUCCACACCAUUUUCGCUGUCAAAUUCUGAAUUUUCUUUGCUUGAGUAGCAUAUAAAUUGGCUUUCAUCAUUGAAAACAUUAUCUAAAGAUUCCAGCAAAGGUUCAGCAGACUCAGAUAAAGAAGCAAAAGCCCACAACACCUGAGCAAGCUCUUGCUCCUGGAAAGUAUGAAUUAUAUCUGAUGCCCUUUUGGAUAAUUCAGAAAAGAGAUCAGGAGCAGAGUGCUUCAUUGAAGCAAAAGCACCUGCAAUAUUAGCCACAUUCUGUGAAUUAAACUCCCCAACCUUGGUUAAGGCCACCUCCGCAACUCUAUCCAUUUCUGACAAGUAAAUCAGAUCACCACCAAUCUUAGACAAUGCCCACGAGACAUUAGAGAUACCUUGAGCUGAACAGUCUGGUAAGGCUGUCAUUGCUAUUCCUACAAGCAUAGACAUCUCUCUUUGGCGAGCAAAGGCCAACCUACGUGUCUCUAUCAUUGAAACUUUCUCCAUAUUCUUAGCAAUUCGAUGAAGAGCGGUGGCAAUGUUCAAAGGAGAGAGAGGUGAGGGACUCAAGCCUUUCCCAACAGCCAUGAUUGUCUCUGCAGUAACCUCCACCACUUCUUCUGCAGUUUGUGCGUCAAUAAUAGCUCUAUUCAAGUUGAUUUCUUUCUUACGAUCAGAUGGCCCCGAAAAUUGGGAAAGCCUCUGAACAAACUCUUCCAUGGUCUUCUCCUUUUUCUCUUCAAACAUCCCACCUGCCAGCACACUCACAGUUCUUCUUAAAUGACUAGCACCAUUAAGAGUAUUUGUAUCUUGCAUAUCAAAGUCUUCCUCGGAAUCAAUAUCCAAAUCUUCUUCAACUUCCUUGAUUUUCUUAUUCACUUUCUCUAUUUUCCCCAGCUUCUUCUUCUUGUUCUUCUUUUUCUUCUUUACUGUCAUCAUAUCUUCCAUUAGAUGAGAUAAGCCCUUCGCCUCAAUCGAUUUAAGAGCAGUCUUUCUUGCCCUCACACACCAAUCCAUUCCCUCACUCUCUUCAAGCGACUUAGACUUUUUUAGCUUUUUCCUCUUGUUGGGGGCCUGGAAACCCAGAGGGUCAAGAUCUCCAAGAAACUCCAACUCCCAAUCCAUAUUACCAUCUCCAUUUUCUUCUUCUUCCUCAUCGUCACUCUCAACACUCCUUGAGCUAAUAGCAGCAUUAUCUGCGCCUACAUUUACGCAAUAUCUUCUUGGAAGGACAAGCUCAAGCCUUUGAGCUAAGAGCCCAGUUCUUGUUAUUGGAAGCUUAUGAGCAAUAUCAGGAUUAAAAGUGAAAGGUUUGAAGCAAAUUUGAUGAGGGAAGGUGUUAAGCAAGCUUUGCAUACUUAUCUAACAAUCUUAAAAUGAAAAACAAAAUUGAAAAUUCAAAGCAACUGCCAAACUGACAAUAUAAUUUAAGAGAGAAAUCAAAAAUUCUUGAGCGAACAGGACAUACCCAAAAGACAAUAUCCACUGCUUCUAAAGAGAAUGGGAAUUUGAAGGCUCCGUUGCUGUUGUUGUUGCAGCUCUUAGGGGUUAGAAGAUAAUAUUAAUAAGGGAAAAGAAAUGGGAGGGAGAGAAGGCUGAGGUUGGGUUAGGAUAGAAGAAAAUCAUAACAAGAAGUGAAGAAGACGAAGAAAAUUAGAAGCUCGAAUAUGAAAUUUCGAAGAAUUGAUGGAGAAAUGGAGUUGAGUAGAGUUCAGUUGUUGGGUUUCAGAAAAAGGGGUUUGGAAAGGAUAAUGUCGAAAAGUUCAGGAAUUCUACACUUACAUCCUUUAAAAAAUAGUUACUGUUUAAAACAGAACAACUUUUACCCCUACAAGUUGUAGGAGGGAGGUUUUCUUGUCUCCAAUAAUUUUCGAAUGGGGUUGAAUUCUCCAUUUAUGAGGAAGUGUUGUCUUGCUUUUGAAAAUUUGUGCGAGUAUCAAGAACAAUUAAGCAUUGAUGUGUAUGAACUAAUUAUGUUUCUACGUGACAGGAACUCUUGUUGAACGCGAUCGCUAUUUGAGGCAAUUUUUCUAUAAUGUUUCAAACGAAAAGAAAGCAAAUAGAUACUAAAAUCAUAUCAAUAUUCCCGUAACUUCUUUAGUUCACUAGUUCUAAUAUCCACGAACCAAACACUCUUAUACUUCCCAAGAACUCACUAGUAAUAGAUAACAAUUUUGCUUCGACCCAACAGCUAAAUGAUACUUCCAAACCAAUACUAAAUUCUAGGAAAUGCCAACACAAUUUCAUACUAACAUACGUGAUUCACACCUUAAUUAUAGAAUUUAAUAAAAGCUAUAACUAAAAUGUGAAGAAACAUUUAAUAAAUAAAAUUAAUAUUUCACAUAGAAUAUUAAGCGGAAACGACAACAUCUGAAAUCUUAAAAAUUUUACAUUAUUUUACAAGUUAGAACUACUCAAGAGUUCACUAAAAGAGUAGCUCAUUAUUCAUUCACAAGCUAUGUAUACAAUACACUCUAUAGAUAUGCCAAAAUCAUCACAAGCUCUAGAUUUCAGGUUCAAUACCUCCAAAAUUUGUUAGGGGUGAGCGAAACCACAUCUCAGUAGGGACAUAAAUCUUUUCAAGGUAAAUUGAUAUAACUAAAUUAAGUGACAUACAAUCACACAGCCAAAUAUCAUAUUAUUAAUAAUAAUGCAUGAAUGCUCUUAAUCUAUAGGACAAACAGACCUGCAUGUCGCAUAUCAUGUUUAUACCACUUGGUCCCGAAUGCCCAUUUGUAUGAACUAACCUCCAUCUCAAUCAUCCCAUAAAUUCCCUUUUGUUAUUCAUCUUGUCUAACUCCCUGUCGCCAGUCCCGUAUCACCAAUAAAAACCAUGUGCACUAUGGGAUCCCCAAGAUUUGGUACCUGCAACCUCUUUUUCCAUCAUUAUUUUCUCAACCUAACAAUUCUAGCUAAUUUUCAUGACAUGAUAUAAUUAUGCCUUUCACAUAUUCUUCACAACAACAUAACCAUUUAAAAUAUCACCAAUGUAUAUAUAAUUAUGCCAACAUUGUUUAAAUAGUUAAGAAUACGUAAACACCCAAUACAAGGAACGUCAACCAAACUGUAAUACCAUGCAUAAUAGAAUGCUCACGAAAUUUAAUUAAAUCAAUCUUUGUAAAAGGCCCCCAAGAAACCCUUACCUCAAUUCCAAAGCUAGCUCAAAAUUUAAGAAAACACAAGCUAAGCCCUAUAUCUCCUCCAAGAGUUUCAUCACCUCUCUCUCUCUCUCUCUCUCUCUUCUUUUACUUCCUCUCUCCAUUUCUUUCUCGUUUCUUACUCUCAUUUCAAUUCUGGAACGCCCUAUUUAUACUAGCAUAAGUCGGCAACAACAAGGAUCCCAUUGGGUAAUUGUUUGGCGGCUAAGAAAUGAGAUAUGCAUGGAAACUAUCUUAUAUAAUAUAAACUAAUAUUAAUUCUAUCACAAAAGUAGAUUAAGUAACAAGAAGAUUAACACAAACUCUAAGAGAUAAAUGAUAGUAUGACGUCUCUCACUUAGGUGAGUUCUCCAAUAGUACAUGUGACCUACACCCUGUUGGAGUUUGCCGGCCUCGAAACUCAUUCAGGGAUGAAUCUCUUUCUAACACCACAUAAAAUAGCACUUUUGCCGUAAGGAUGAGCAGAAGAAUAUCUCAAGGAUAUCUCCAUUGUUUUAUGAGUGUUGUAUGAGUCACGCAGUAUGGAUUGUUUCUACCACAUUGAACUUCCUUCAUGGGAUCGCCAAUCACAGAAGUUGGGUUACCUCCCUAGGUGACUCCCUUAUGGGCUUAAGCACUUUCCCCUCGACAUUUUGCAUUAAUAGCCUCCUCCACGAGACAUGCAUAUCGGGACUAGCCUACAAGGCAUAUAUAAUGUAGGUCAUGUAAUUAAAAAUAAAGAAACAAAUAAAUAAAUAAAAUAAGUCAAGAGUAAGAAAGCAAGCCUGGUAUAGUGAAAGCACAUCAAAGACGCUGUCCUAAAGCCUUUGUAGCCUCCCAACGUGCAGGUAAUGACAGUCUAUAAGACUCCAAGAUACGACCCCAAUACGCAGGCUUAAGGUCCGCUAUGAGCAUGUUCACAGUCGGAUAGAAAUCUCCAAGCCACAGAACCGUUGUCCAAAAUAAUAAUAUGAAAAAUAGAGAAUAUAUGAAAGUAUGAGACUAUAAAAGUCAUAUUGUGGUGUGUUUCAAAUGUGAAGGAGGAGUGACCUUUUAUAGGCAUUCAACACUUGUAACCUCCAGACACAUUAAACCAAAAAAAUUAAGACAAUGAAUAGAAAAUAAAAACUGAAAGUCUAAACAAUUGUAACUCCUAUAAUAAAUCAAAGAAAAUAGACAAAAUAUUAAAACAAAAAAUAAAACGUUAAAAUUUAAAAAAACCUUUCAAAUAAUAACAAUCCCCCACAAGGGUUUUAAAAUUUUAAAAUAGCAAAAGAUAAAUAAAAUAUACAUAAAGGCAACAUAAUACUAUGCAAUAGGUGUAGGUGCAUUCCAGGCUUGAACCUUCACUUAGUGAUGAUAGUUUUCAUUUGAGGAACUUGAGUGUACAUAGUAUUGAACUCGGUACCUUUGACCAAACUUCAACAUAUUCCACACAUAGUAUUAGUUAAGACUUGGAAGUGGGGUAGCGCUAUUUAUGGUCAUGCACUAAUCUUGAUUCUCAUGAGAGUUACUAGAGAAUAGACUAAUUCUCACAGUAGCGGUCUCACGACGUCUUUCACUUGGGUGAGUUCUCCAAGAGUACAUGUGACCUGUACCCUACGAGAGAUUGCCCGCCUAGAAACUCAUUCAAGGAUAACUCUCUUCCUAACACCACAUUAUAUAGCACUAAUGUCAUAGGGAUGAGCAUGAAGACAUCUUUAGGAUGCCUCUACAUUAUAUAAACAGUGCUCAAUGAGUCACGCAGUAUGGAUUGUUUCUACGCAUUGAACUUCCUUCAUGGGAUGGCCAAUCACAUAAGUUGGGUUACCUCCUUAGGUGACUCAUUUAUGGGCUUGAGCCCAUCCCCCCUGGACAUUUCUAGGACUCUGCUCCUAGAAAGACUUUUAGUCAAUUGGUCAGCAAUAUUAUUCUCCAACUUCACAUACUCCAAAGACACAAUGUUCUUACUUAAUAAGCUCUUCACAGAUUUAUGUCUUACAUGUAUGUGGUGUUCAUUUUCCUAUUUGUAUGAGAUUGUUUCACUAAGUCUAUUAUAGCCUUGCAAUCAUAAUAAAUAGAUAAAGCAGGCAAUGGUUUCUCCACCAGAGGCAUAUCCAUCAAUAAACUCUUAAUCCAUUCAGCCUCAGUGCAAGUAAUAUCCAAAUCUAUGAGUUUAGACUCCAUAAAACUUCUAGAAAUAAUUGUUUGCUUCUUAGAACCCCAUAAAAUUGCAGCUCCACCCAAUAAGAAAAUGUAACCACUAGUCGACUUCACUUCUUCAUUGUUUGUUAUCCAAUUUGCAUCACUAUAUCCUUCUACCACAUUUGGAAAUCCUUUAUAGCAUAGUGAAUAAUCCAUUGUUCCUCUUAGGUACUUGAAAACUCUUUCCAAAGCAUCCCAAUGUUCCUUGCUUGGGUUAUGUAUAUACCUACUUAAUCUUCCAACAUCUUAAGUAAUAUCUGGCCUAGUCUUAUUUGCAAUGUACAACAAAAAACCUGUCAUCUGGGAGUACUUCAGUUGAGAAAACGGUUCACCUUGAUUUUUCUUUGAAUGAACAUUGAGAUCAUAAGGUGUUGGUGUUGGCUUACACUCAAAGUAAUUGAACUUCUUCAACAUCUUCUCAAUAAUACUAGAUUGACUUGGAGAAAUUCCUUGUGUUGUCUUUUCAAUUUUCAUUCCUAAGAUUAUAUGUGCUUCUCCCAUAUCUUUCAUGUCAAAAUUCUUGAUAAAUAUGACUUCACAUCAUUCACAAUCUCUAAAUUCGUUCCAAAGAUCAAAAUGUCAUCAACAUAAAGGCACAAGAUUACAUUUAUCAUGACCAUCAAACUUAAAAUCAUAAUCUAGAAUCAGCUUGUCAAAUUUCUCAUGCCAUUGCUUAGAAGCUUGCUUUAGGUCAUAUAAAGAUUUAACCAACUUACACACUUUAUGUUCUUGGCCCUUAACUAUGAAUUCUUCGGGUUGUUCCAUAUAGAUUUCUUCAUCUAAGACUCCAUUCAAAAAUGCCGUCUUCACAUACGUUUGAUGAAUCACUAAAUUAUGCAAAGAUGUGAAAGCUAUCAAAGUCCUUAUGGUGGUAAUCCUUGAAACAAGUGAGUAAGUAUCAAAAUAGUCUAUCCAUUUCUUUUGUGUAAAACUCUUAUCUACCAAUCUUGCUUUAUACUUAUCAAUACUUCCAUCUGGUUUCAACUUUUUCCUAAACACCCACUUGCACCCUAUAGCUUUAUAUCCAACAGGCAAAUCUGUUAACAUUCAUGUAUUAUUUUGGAUUAUAGAUUGAAACUCAUCAUUUAUAGUAUCUUUCCAGAAUGGUGCAUCCACAGACAUAACGGCUUCCUUAUAAGUUGUGGGAUCUCAUUCCACUAGAAAGGUAUAGAAAUCAUCUCCAAAAUUUUCUCAACUCUUGCUCUUUUGCUUCUUCUGAGUUCUUGAGAUUCUAAACUUUCGAUUGUAGUUAAGCUAGAAGGCUUCUCAUUUGUUUGUACUUCCUUAGAAAUUCUUGUCUUGUACGGAAAAAUAUAUUCAAAGAAUGUAGCAUCUCUAGCUUCCAUAACUAUGUUGUUUGCAACCUCAUUUACUUCAGAGUUAAUCACCAAGAACCUAUUGGGACUGCUAUUUUUUGCAUAACCGAGGAAAAUUGCAUCUAUAGUCUUAGGACCUAUUUUCUUUCUCUUAGGAUUAGGUAUGAGUUCAUUAGCUAAACACCCCCACGCUUUUAGGAUCCUAAGGUUAGGUAAUCUUCCUUUCCACAACUCAUAAGGAGUUUUCUCAUUGUCCUUUAAUGUUAUCCUAUUAAGUAUGAAACAAGCAGUUAACAUUGCUUUCCCACACAAAUUCUCAGGUAGUCCACUAUUAAGAAGCAUAGAAUUUACCAUAUCCAUCAGAGUUCUAUUUUUCCUUUUAACCACUCCAUUAGAUUGGGGUGAAUAUGGUGGACUGACUUCAUGUAUAAUCCCAUGUUCUUCACAAAACACUCCAAGCUUAUUUGAGGUAUACUCUCUACCUCUAUCAGAUCUAAAUCUCUUAAUAUUUUUCUCCAACUGAUUUUCUACCUCACUUUUAUAAACCUGAGUUUAUCAAACACCUCAUCUUUUGUCUGAAUAAGAUAAAUAUGGCAACCUAGAGAAUUCAUCAUUAAAUGUCACAAAAUACUUAUUUUCACCUCUAGUAGGAGACCUAUUUGAAUCACACACGUCACUAUGUAUGAGCUCUAAGAUUUGGGUGUUUCUUUCUACAGGUUUGAAAGAAUUUCUUGUUUGUUUGGCUUGAACACACACUUCACGUUUAUUCUUAAGGUCUACAUUAGACUUAGGGAUUAGCUCAAGAUCCAUUAACCUUUUGAUUUUGCUCAAACUUACACGUCAUAACCUUCUAUGCCGUACAUUACAAGACUCAACAUUAAAAACUUGAGGAUAAAUUUUAUUAUCUUCAAAAACUAUAUUUAUUUUGAACAAUCCAUCACAAACAUAUCCUUUUCCAAUAAAGACAUUUUUCUAGUAAUAACAAUCCUAUUCAACUCCAUUACAAUUUUGUAUCCUUACUUUACUAAGGACGAUCCACUAAUAAGGUUUCUCCUUACGUCAGGAACAUGUCGCACAUCCUUGAGAGUUAGAGCCUUCCCAGAUGUCAUCUUCAAUUCUACUUCUCCUAUUCCACGUACUUGUGCGAUGGUGCCAUUUCCUAGAGUUACACUUCCUCCACUUGAAUUUUUGAAAAAUCGUUUGUCAAAACAUAUGUUUGCCCCAGAAUCUUUGUAAAUUGCCUCGCCUUAAAUGUGGCAAAGAAUCGUAAUCGUUUAGACUCUUAUGUUGCAGAGAAUCGUAAUCGUUUGGGGGCCAAGAAAUCUUAUAAUUGGAUUCUUGCAAGAUGUGCAAUGUUGGAUAAUUUUAUAGCUGCUAUAGUGCAGUUGUGGGUAAUGAUUGAGGUUUCUGAAAUUUUUUUUCUAAAACUACUCUUUGGCAAAGAAGCAAAGCUGACAUCGCAAACCCGACCACAAAUCACUCCCCUAAUCAUACUUUGGGUAAUUCUCUUUCUAGUUUGCCGCUUCCUUUUGUUAUUUUGGAUUAAUUUAAUUAAUUUUCAUAAUUUAGAAACAUGAAAUCAAUGAUGUACAAUCUUCCAUUCCCUAAAAAAAUGCACUGCUGCAUUUAGACCCUACAAAGUUCCAUAGAAAAUAUUUGGGGGUAAACCAUCCUCGACUUGGCAUUAUAUGUGUACUUGACACCAUUAAUCAUCUCAUCAGUAUCCUUAACCUACAACAUAAAAUAACAUGAAGUAUAAGAAAAAAUGUUCAUCAUUGACAACAACAUUAGAAAAAAGCAAAUAAAUGUAACAUAAACAGUCCAAAUGAUUAUAAUGUUGAUGUCAUGUUAUACCUUCAAGUAUAUCUCUAGGUUUGGUAAUCUUCUAGUUUGUUUUUGUUGUUGUGUUUACAAGAAGGUUUGGAUGAAACAUAGUGGGAGGAUAUUGAUCUAAAAUUUUGUUUGAAAAGUAUCGAAAUAUCAAUUUGAUAGAUUAUCUUUUCAAAUUUGUGGCCGUAGUGACUAUUAAGAAUUUUCUCGCUCAUCUUUAUUAUUUUUGAGUUGGAUUGUGAAUUGGAUUGUUACGUGCAACUAUGCACAAGUCUUCUCAAAUUGCAUAAUCAAUUGGACCCAAUAAGUGAUACUUUACGUCAAGUAUUGGUUCAUGACUAUAGUUCAACUUUCCAUCAUAAAUGUUCUUUUCGCCCUCCAAACUGUUGUUUUCAUCCUUCAAAAGACAUCCUCGUUCGAACUUGGUGUUGUAGCAUUCAAUUCUUUGAGAAUUUUCUUCUCUUCAUUGAAUAAUGCUUGGACCAUUCGUUCAAAACUUAUUAUAUCAUCUGUUUUUACUUCAUCUUUGAUUUUGGCUUAUUUUGCACAACAAUUUGAAAUAAAAAUAAUUCGAGUCGAAAGAUUACCAUGUUGAUGGCAUGUUAUACCACCAAGUAUAUCCCUAGGUGGUGUAAUCUUAUGAUUUGUGUUUGUUGUUGUGUGUACAAGAAGGUUUGGAUGCAACAUAGUCAAAGGAUGUGGUUCUAAAAUUGUUUGAAAAGUAUCGGAAUAUCAACUGAAUAAAUAAUCUUUGCGAAUUUGUGGCCAUCGCAGUGACUACUAGCAAUUUGAGCUCCUCGUUAUCAUUUUGGAGUUUUGCACUACUAAAUACAGUUUGAUAAUAUUAUGAAUUGGAUCACUACGUGCAAUUAUGUAAAAGUUUUUGCAAUUAUGUAAAAGUUUUCUCUAAUCAUAUAGUCUUCUAUAUCAAAUAAAGUGAUACAUUACGUCAAAUAUUGAGUGAUUGUUGUAGUUCUACUUUCCCUCAUAAAUAUUCUUUUCACCCUCCAUAUUGUUGUCUUCAUCCUCCAAAAGAUAUUCUGGUUCGAACUUGGUGUUGUAGCUGCCUUCCAUCUAGAGUGGUUAAAUUAGAAAAAGGAAAUUAUAAACAAUGGUAUGUAAGAAGUACAAUUUAUAGCUAAAGAAACCAAAAAAAGUAGAGAGAAAAGAAAAGAAUCGCUUACCACACAUUCCCUACUAUCCGGUUUAUCAAGUAUUCUCAAUAUCUAUAAAAUUAAAAAAAAGAUAUAGCAUAUCUACAUAAUAAAAGAAUGUUGUAUAAUAAAAUAAGCAUCUACAUCUACAAAAUUUAUAUUUUCACCGAGGACUGUACAAAAUAAGAAUGUUGUGCAUAUAUAAAAUAAGAAUGUUGUGCAUAUUUUCACCAAGGACUCUAAGGGUGUAAUGAGUAAUAAAAUAUUAUUUUUUUCACAAUGAAUAAAAUUCAUGAGUUAGAAUUUUUAAUAUAUGCAUGCAACAACAUCAGUCGUUGUUGCUAUUUACUUAAAUACGAGGAGAAGAAAAAUUCUUCCAAUUCUUACAUCAACUUGUAGCUAUAAUAAAAUAUGUUAAUUUUAAUAGUUCAUACAAUUAAAACACUAAUUAUUUACCUUUUGAAGCAAUAUUUAUGUCCCCGACCCUAGUCCUCCUAGAUAAAGGAUCCCCCUUUCUUGCGCCCCGUUUGCACAAUAUACUACAUAGGGUAAUAUUUUAGUUUGUACUUGUUGUUGUGUUUACAAGAAUGUUUGGAUGUAGCAAAAUCAGAGGAUGUGAAUAUAAAAUUCUUUGGGAAGUACCUGAAUAUCAACUUAAUAAAUAAUAUUUUCGAUUUUGAGUAAAUGAAUCAAAAUUAUAUUAAGACCAUGCAACAUGAGUUAAGAAUGAUAGAGGAAGGAACUUAGACGCAAGAAUGACGAUAAAAAGUUAAUUAUCUUAUUAUGUGUGUUAAAUCGCACGUAGGCAUCCAUGACCAGAAUAUUAUGACAUUGUUAUUGGUAGUAUUAAACUAAAAGAUGAUAAUGGAAAGCUUCGCUUUCUAGCAUGCCUAUUCAAACUUUCAUGAGCUUUACAUCCAAAUUUCAUUCUUUCACUUAGGUUAAUCAAAACAUGGUGCUCAAUUGAUUGCAAAGAUAGUUGCGCCUAUGCAAAAAAGUAAAAAAAAUACGUAUAUUAAAUAUUUUAAUCAAUUUGUACUUUUAUAAAGGAAAGUUAAAAUUUUGGUGCAACAAGCUUCUCUCAAAUAAUAAAAUUAAUUGAGCCCUAACCCUUUUUUGCUCAAGAGUUCCAACAUAGCAUUCAACUCUUGGGGAAUUCUCUUCUCUUAAUUGAAUAAUCCUCAAACCAUGUUUUUCAAAACUACUUUUAUCAUCCAUCGUCGCUUCAUCUUUCACCUUGACGAAUUAUGCACAACCAUUUGAAAUAAAAGUAUUUUGAGCCAAAAUAUUACGAUGUUGAUGGCAUGUUAUAAGACUAAGUACAUCCCUAGAUAGGGUAAUCUCCUAGAUUGUGCUUGUCGUUAUUGUAUUGUGGUACAAGAGGGGAUCUUAUAUUUAUAUAACCUCAAAUACAUUGAGUUUUUUGCCCAUCAAGGAUUCUAAAGAUAUUCUUGCAGUCAUAAGAUGAAACUUUUUAUCCUGAAUAAAUGGGUUCCCAAGCUCUCACCCAAAGAUUCCACUAUACUUAAUCUAUAUCCCAAGCUCGCACCCGAAAAUUCCACUAUACUUCCCUUGAACCAAUUGCUAUUGUUCGGGUCAAUUAGCUUUCCCGGAAUAUAAAAUUUUUGUUGAAUCGAGCUUCCACGCUGGAAAAGGAAUUAGUAACUUAAAAUAAAUAAUGAGAAACAAUUAAUUAAUAAAUACAAAGAAAUAAAGAUUAAUAACUUACAAUCACUGUAAACUGGCCACCAUCAAGUGUAUUAAUAUUAAUCAUCUGAGUCGGCCUCAAAAUCUGCAUAUGCCUUAGCAUCUGCAAGUAAAAGAAAAAAAUCAAUUGUCAGAUAAAAACAAACCUUAUACGCCACAAUAAUUCAAGCAAGGAUGACGAUAAAAAGUUAGACGCAAAGAUGGCGAUAAAAAGUUAAUGAUGUCAUUAUGUGUGCUAAAUCGCACGUAGGCAUCCAUAGCCAGAAUAUUAUGACAUUGUUAUUGGUAGUAUUAAACUAAAAGAUGAUAAUGGAAAGCUAGCAUGCCUAUUCAAACUUCCGUAAGCUUUACAUCCAAAUUUCAUUCUUUUGCUUGGGUUCAUCAAAAUAUGGUGCUCAAUUCACUGCAAAGAUAGUUAUGCCUGCACGAAAAAGUAAAAAAAAGCGUAUAUUAAAUAUUUUAAUCAAUUUGUACUCUUAUAAAAGGAAAUUUGUAAUUUUGGUGCAACAAGCUUCCCUAAAAUAGUAAAAUUAAUUGAGCCAUAACCCUUUUCUGCUCAAGAGUUCCAACAUAGCAUUCAAUUCCUGGGGAAUUCUCUUCUCUUAAUUGAAUAAUCCUCGAACCAUAUUUUUCGAAACUACUUAUAUCAUCCAUCCUCGCUUUAUCUUUCACCUUAGCGAAUUAUGCAAAACCAUUUGAAAUAAAAGUAAUUUGAGCCAAAAUAUUACGAUGUUGAUGGAUGUUAUAUGACUAAGUACAUCCCUAGAUAGGGUAAUCUUCUAGGUUGUGCUUGUUGUUGUUGCGUUAUGGUACAAGAGGGGAUCUUAUAUUUAUAUAAGCUCAAAUGCCUUGAGUUUUUUGAUAAAUGGGUCCACAAGCUCUCACUCGAAGGGUCCACUAUACUUAACCUAUACUCCAAGCUUGCACCCGAAGGUCCUACUAUACUUUCUUUGAACCAAUUGCUAUUGUUCGGGUCAAUUGGCUCCCCCGUAGUAUAAAUUUUUUGUUGAGCCGAGCUUCCACGCUAGAAAAGGAAUUAGUAACUUAAAAUAAAUAAUGAGAAACAAUUAAUUAAGAAAAAUAAAGAAAUAAAGAUUAAUCACUUAUAAUCACCGUAAACUGGCCACCAUCAAGUGUAUUAACAUUAACCAUUUGCAUCGGCCUCAGAAUUUGCAAGUAAAAGAAAAAAAAUCAAUCGUUAAAUAAAAACAAACAUUAUAUGCCACAAUAAUUCAAGCAAAGAUGACGAUAAAAAGUUAGACACAAGGAUGAUGACAAAAAGUUAAUUAUGUCAUUAUGUGUGCUAAAUUGCACGUAGGCAUCCAUAGCCAGAAUAUUAUGACAUUGUUAUUGGUAGUAUUAAACUAAAAGAUGAUAAUGGAAAGCUUCACUUUCUAGCAUGCCUAUUCAAACUUUCGUGAGCUUUACAUCCAAAUUUCAUUCUUUCACUUAGGUUAAUCAAAACAUGGUGCUCAAUUAACUGCAAAGAUAGUUGCACCUGUGCGAAAAAGUAAAAAAACGUAUAUUAAAUAUUUUAAUCAAUUUGUACUCUUAUAAAGGGAAGUUGAAAUUUUGGUGCAACAAGCUUCUCUCAAAUAGUAAAAUUAAUUGAGCCCUAAGCCUUUUCUGCUCAAGAGUUCCAACACAGCAUUCAAUUUUUGGGGAAUUCUCUUUUCUUAAUUGAAUAAUCAUCGAAUCAUGUUUUUCGAAACUACUUAUAUCAUCCAUCGUCGCUUCAUCUUUCACAUUGGCGAAUUAUGCAAAACCAUUUGAAAUAAAAGUAAUUUGAGCCAAAAUAUUACGAUGUUGAUGGAUGUUAUACGACUAAGAACAUCCCUAGAUAGGGUAAUCUUCUAGGUUGUGCUUGUUGUUGUUAUGUUAUGGUACAAGAGGGGAUCUUAUAUUUAUAUAAGCUCAAAUACCUUGAGUUUUUUGAUAAAUGGGUCCUCAAGCUCUCACUCGAAGGUUCCACUAUACUUAACCUAUACUCCAAGCUCGCACCCGAAGGUUCUACUAUACUUCCCUUGAACCAAUUUCUAUUGUUCAGGUCAACUGGCUCCCCCGUAGUAUAAAUUUUUUGUUGAGUCGAGCUUCCACACUAGAAAAGGAAUUAGUAACUUAAAAUAAAUAAUGAGAAACAAUUAAUUAAUAAAAACAAAGAAAUAAAAAUGAAUCACUUACAAUCACUGUAAAUUGGCCACCAUCAAGUGUAUUAAUAUUAACCAUCUGCAUCGGCCUCAGAAGCUGUAUAUGCCUCAGCAUUUGCAAGUAAAAGAAAAAAAAAAUCAAUCGUUAAAUAAAAACAAACAUUAUAUGCCACAAUAAUUCAAGCAAAGAUGACAAUAAAAAGUUAGAUGCAAGGAUGAUGAUAAAAAGUUGAUUAUGUCAUUAUGUGUGCUAAAUCGCACGUAAGCAUCCAUAGCCAGAAUAUUAUGACAUUGUAAUUAGUAGUAUUAAACUAAAAGAUGAUAAUGGAAAGCUUCACUUUCUAGCAUGCCUAUUCAAACUUUCGUGAGCUUUACAUCCAAAUUUCAUUCUUUCACUUAGGUUAAUCAAAACAAGGUGCUUAAUUGACUGCAAAGAUAGUUGCGCCUGUGCGAAAAAGUAAAAAAAACCGUAUAUUACAUAUUUUAAUCAAUUUGUACUCUUAUAAAGGGAAGUUGAAAUUUUGGUGCAACAAACUUCUCUAAAAUAGUAAAAUUAAUUGAGCCCUAACCCUUUUUUGCUCAAGAGUUCCAAUAUAGCAUUCAAUUCUUGGGGAAUUCUCUUAUCUUAAUUGAAUAAUCCUCGAACCAUGUUUUUCAAAAUUACUUAUAGAAUCCAUUGUCGCUUCAUCUUUCACCUUGACAAAUUAUGCACAAUCAUUUUAAAUAAAAGUAAUUCGAGCCAAAAUAUUACGAUGUUGAUGGCAUGUUAUAAGACUAAGUACAUCCAUAUAUAGGGUAAUCUUCUAGGUUGUACUUGUUGUUGUUGUGUUAUGGUACAAGAGGGGAUCUUAUAUUUAUAUAAGCUCAAAUACCUUGAGUUUUUUGCCCAUCAAGGAUUCUAAAGAUAUUCUUGCAAUCGUAAGAUGAAACCUUUUAUCCUGAAUAAAUGGGUCCCCAAGCUCUCACUCGAAGGUUCCACUAUACUUAACCUAUAUCCCAAGCUCGCACCCGAAGGUUCCACUAUACUUCCCUUGAACCAAUUGCUAUUGUUCGGAUCAAUUGGCUCCCCCGGAGUAUAAAAUUUUUGUUGAGUCGAGCUUCCGCGUUGGAAAAGGAAUUCGUACCUUAAAAUAAAUACUGAGAAAUAAUUAAUUAAUAAAGACAAAGAAAUAAAGAUUAAUCACUUACAAUCACUGUAAACUGGCCAACAUCAAGUGUAUUAAUAUUAACCAUCUGCGUCGGCCUCAACAUCUGCAAGUAAAAGAAAAAAAUCAAUUGUCAGAUAAAAGCAAACAUUAUAUGCCACAAUAAUUCAAGCAAGCAUAAUACUUGGUUAAGGCUCCUCAUAAUUAAUUAGCUUUAUAAGAAAACACUUCUGCUUAUAAAUGUUGUUAGAAGCACUGUUAAUAGAAAAAACGUCAAAAAAUUUCUUACAACUAAAAAUGCUUUUUGGAAAUGCUUCAUAUAGAACCAUGUUGCAUAAACACAGUUCAAAUAUAACAUAAACUACUUACUAAAGCUAGAACAGCUCUCCCAAGUCUAAGGUAUGUUGUAUUAAUUUAUUGAAAUUGAAAUAGCUAUUUAAAAGUAGGAAAAUCACUUACAAUUUCAGUAUACGACAAGUAAGAUCAUAAGGUCUGAAAAUUUGAAAGGACGAAGAGUAUUUUCUCAUUUUGUCAAAAGGGCUAAAGGUACACCACACCCUUAAACUUAAAAAAGACUGAGAUUUAAACAUGUAGCACCUAAUUAAGUUUAAUAUCCAAAUAGAAAGUAAAAUAUAGGUUCGGUUUAACUAUGAAAUGACGACUCUAAAAGACAAGCCGAUGACUUAAAAACACCACGAUGCUAUUGCACGUUGACACCGUUACCAUCUUGCAGUCUAGAGAUAAGUGGGUCCUUCAGAUCAAACAAAUAAGUGAGUCUUUUGAGAAUCAAAUAAAUGUUUUGAGAAUAAUUAAUGUUGGUUGGUAUAGGUUAAGUUAAUAGCUCAUCUUCCAUAUUUUUAUUUAUGAAGAGGGGGACAAAGCCCCAAAAACAUAACUAAGAAACAACAUCACAUUUUGAACCAAAAAAAAAAAAAAAAAACGACGACAACAAAUUAAUCUACAGUAAAAACUCACCAAAUGACUCAUCCCACCAAAACUCAAACAGCUUGAAUGUAUUUGACAUCUUAUCGUUUCUGUUUUUGAAUAGCUUAUACCCCAAAAGUAUUGGAUGCAGGUGGGGGUGCCUCUGAAUGCUGGGAACGUACUGGGAGCGAAGGAUAACAAACCAAUACCAAAAUCGGAGACAAUCAUUAGAAAAGCUAUGAACAAAUCCUUGGAACCCGAAAGCAAACACAUGCUACAAAGGACUUCUUCGAUUGCUGACUUGGAACAUGGUCAAUUGACUAAUUAUUAUUGAAUAGCUUGAAUUUAUAUUUUUUAAUUACUUUAAUUAGUUGUUAUGUCUUAAUUAUUAUUUACUUAAUGAAUAAUUUGUAUUUAAAUAUUUUAUUAUUUUUAUUUUUAUUCAAUAAUAUGUGAGUAUUUUGUGAAUAAUAUGUGAAUUUUGUGUGUAUUAUUGAAAUUUUUAUUAAAAAAAUAAGUGUAUUAAAUAUGAAAAGUACUUACGUACGUGUACAAUAUGAGUAUUAAACGUAAAAAUGCUAAAUUCUUUAUACAUGUAAUAACUCUAGAAAAGUAAAAACAAGGGGACAAUAUAGACUCAGGUAAUGGCCUAAUAGUAAUAAAUAAUACUCUAAACUACUCUUAUAGAUAAACAAAAAUCGGGGAAAAACAAUUAUAAAAAAAAAAUUGCAGUGUCUAUGUAAAGAGUAUAACCGCGCCUCUAUACUAUUUACGAAAAAGAAUUUAAAAAAAUACCCCAGUAAAGCAGUGCAACUAUACACUUGUUUUAUUAAAAAAAAAAUUCGGUAGUAUAGCCGCGCGGCUAUACUAUUUAUAAAAAUAAAAAAAAGAAAGGACCCGCUACUCGCUUAACGCUUGUUUUUUUAGGAAAUCACUUUCACUUUGUCCCACAUUGAGAGAGAGUAGCUCACUUGAAACACUAAAUAGGAAGUCUUUUAAUUAUUCAUUUAGUUUUAUUUUAUUUUAAAGUCUAUGAGGGUUUUAAUAUUGCUAAAAUGGCACGCUUGCAACUCACGCGUUCUCAAGCCUAUUCUAGGGUUUGACAUUUUCAGGCUGUUCGCGUUAAAACUAAACAUAAAUAAAGCUAACUUACAGGUGAUGUGGAUGGUUUGGACUCGAGGAGCCUUCGGACCAUGGCGUCCUUCCUCGAUACGUGAUGCUGGAUUCGGCCUGGAGAGAGAAACGGCAGGUGAGGUCUAAGACACCGGUGUGGCGCCGGCUGAAGACCCUCUGAUGCCAAAGUUAGUGACUAAGAGCAAUUCUAUUGACAAUGAAAGCACAAGUUAAGUAAACAGUCUUACCUCUUGGCUGGGCCAAGGGGUUCUAUUUAUAAAAAGCAUUUGUGAUGCUCUUAGUACUUAGUUUCGAUGUGUUUCGACGGUCGACGUGUGCCCUGACAGGUUCUGGCGGGAGUUCAGAGGUUAUCUGUUAGAAUCGGCAGGAUGUGCUGACUGGUCACUCGACAUAGUGUGCCGAACGUUGGUGUGGGUGAAUCGGCCGUUAGCAUUUACCAACUUGACGACCUCGUAUGAAUCGGUGGAGAAUGUCGAUUGACCUUUCGGCAUGGCUCACUGAGCUGGUCUUAGACUUGUUUACCUUCCACGUGCUAUGAUGUGAGUGGGGGGUCAGAUAUGGUACAAACACAGGCUAAACAAAUUCUCUAUAGUUAAUGACUAAAUAAUAAAACACUAAAGAAUAAUGAAACAUGUGAUCAAAUUCAUAAAUAAAUUAAAAGUAAUGUUUAUCUUGAGAGAAAAUAUAGUGAUGAUUUUGAGAAAAAAGAAUAGUGUUGGAGAUUUCUAGAAAUUGCAGGAUUGAAAUAGCUCAGCAAUCCCCAAAUUCCAAAAUUGUAACUUAACAUGUAUGAGACAUUUGAUCUGAAAGGUAAGACAUGUCAUUUUUCAUGCACUCAUAAUGGGAACGUUUUUUGGAAUCUAAUAUGAUUUUAUUUCCUUGAUCUUCCUUGAUAAUCAAUUAGAAUCCCUUUAGGAGUGCAUCUCAUUUAGGCAUAUUUUUCAAUAUCUUUUGUUCAUUCCUUCUUUCCUUGUAUUAUUAAAUUCCUACUUGUCUUUCAAGUAUUUUGAUUGAAGAUCACGUUGGUAUUUCCUUGGGCCUCAAGGGUAAUCUUGCUUUGUAUUGGAAAGUAUCUUUGAUUGGCAAUCACUUGUUUAAUUAGAUCAAUGUUUCUAAAGGGUUGGGAUAUUCUUGGAAUUAAUUCAAGAAUAUUAGGAAUCUUGAUAAGGUGAUUGUGAAUAUCCUUUUUGGAGUACAUGUGAGUUUUAUACAUACUAUGAAACAUAUCUUUGGUUAUUUGGUUAGCCUUCAAUGAAUUUGAUUUUGUGUUGGACGUGGGCUUUUCUUCCUAGAGAAGAAAAGGUUCCAUAAAAUAAGAACUUUGUCUUCUUUGUUUUUAGGAGAUUUCACGAUCAUGUUUUCAGUGCAUAAACUUUGGAAAGCUGAGUUUGUAUUUGAGAUAAAUUAUCAAGUGUUCCAUGUUUACUUGGUGAUUUAUCAAACACUUUUGUCAUUCAUAUUUCAUUCAUUUGCAUGUUCGAUGACUCAUACGGUUGAGGGCACCAAAACCGUGUUGGCGUUUUUUCUCCAGUGAGUUUGAAUCGAUCGUGACCAGUAUUGGAUUCAACACAAGGAGAGUUGGAAGAACUUCGACGAGCUUAAAGCAAUUGUGACCAGUAUUGCGUUCAACAUAAGGAGUGUUAAAGAUCAUCCCGUGACAGAAGUUGAGUUACGAAGAAGUAGGUAAACAUUAUCUAGAACGUGUCUAGGAUAAGUGUGUGAGUAAUUAUUGUAAUCAUUGUUCUAUAGUGGAUUUGUGUUGGACUGAGGAAUCCUAUGGAUUUUCCCCAUAAGUGCGAUUUUACCACUUAAAAUAAGUCUAUGCGUGUUCCUUUAUUUUACGUUCAGCACGUUUUAGGAUUGAUAAGCCAUAUCAAUCCUUAUACCAAAGUUUAUUUUUUGUUUAUUGAUUAUAAUUUUAAAUUGUCCUAUUCACCCACUCUAGGCAUUUUUAGUCAUCCUACAAGUAAUUUCAACAUUUUAACCCAAGGUUACAUAAAUCCAUGGGUUAUGGUGUGACAACAUGCACUGGCAGUGGAAGAAUUGUCUAACUGUUUAGCAAUGAGAUUAUUGGAAUAGGAAGGGCAAAAAAAGUAUCAUUCUGGAGGUCGUUGCAUCAUUCGAUACCCAGGUUUGGCAUGCCUUUUUCGAAAUUGAGGGAUCUCAAAACGACCUCAACAUGCUUGGUCAAUCCUUGGUAUUCAACUAUGUGUUGAGAGGUCAUUCCCCCUAGAUCACGUAUCAAAUCAACAAUACCGUAUACUCGAGUAGGUACUACCUAGCUGACGAAAUUUAUCCAAAGUGGAUGGCAUUCGUCAAAACAAUUCCAAAUCCCCAAUUGGAGAAGGAAAAAAGCCUUGUUGUGUUUUGGUAUCCUGUAAGCUCGUUGGGCAAUUAUUAGGUGUAUUGCUCAUAUGUUUGAUGAAGAGAUGCUCCGGAGCAUUAUGAUGACUUGCAUCAUCCUCCAUAACAUGAUUGUGGAGGAUGAGUAUGAUUAUGAUGCCCCUGAGAUGUUCGAACCCGAUCCCAUUAAUAUGGCAUUGACAAGAAUUUAUGAACGACCCGUGGGAGCAAAUGGAUAAUCACUGGAGCACGAACCGUUGAUUAGAGACAGUCGGUACAACAAUCAUAUGAUUGACCAUUAUAUGAAAAUGCAAUCUUCUUAUGUUCAAGAGAGACAUCAAGUUGACUUGAUCGAGCACUUAUGGGCGAUGAAGGGCAAUCAAGGUGGAUGAAGUCAAGUUUAAUGCUUUGUUUGGAAUUAUGCUUUGUUUUUAACAAUGGUUUGUUUUAAAUUAUGCUUUGUUUUGUGUGUGGUUUGUAAUGAAUUAAGGUUUGUUUUGAUGUAUGAAAUGUUUUUAAUGAAUAGCUAUAUUAUUUAAUACUUUCUUUAUUUAAUAAAAAAGAAACAAUACAACAAAUUAAUAUAUGGCAACUCUUUCAAUACAACCUAAUGGUUUUGAUCAUUUAACCAAUCUGUGUUGCUAGGUCCACCGUUAUGGAAAAGCUUUCUUCUCAUAACAUCUCUUUGUUUUAGCUUCCAAUAGGACUUUGUUUCAGGAGACAUAUGGCUCAUAUCAAUGGCCAUGAUUUUCAUCUCUUUGUCCUCUACGUCUUGUCACUGUGCCUGCUGCCUUUCUAUUGCAUAUGCUUCAUAUCAUGUCUUGUCAGCUUCAUCUCUUUUCAAGUCUCUUUAAAUUCUAAGUGAGCCGUUUAUAGCAAUUUGGUCAAAAAAAUUUGCACAUUCAGUGUUCGAAGUGCUCCCUCUCUUGGCCUUUGCCGCUUUUCACCCAAUAGGCAUCGGCUCACGUUGGAUUGGUGAGACUUGAUCCAUUGGGGGGAGUCCAAUGGAGAAUCCUUUGCCAGUGAAUUGUGAAGUGGCGUCUCAUUCAACACAACCGUCGGAUGUGUGGAAAUAAUUUUGAAUAUUGAAAAAUUCUUCACAACUUCCCAACAUUGGUGAUUGAUGAAACUUUUUUUGCCUUGACCAAUGGCACCGAACCACAUUUGCGCUUGAAUAAUCUAUUAAAAAAUAAAAUUGGAAAUGCAAGAAAUUUUUUUUUAAAAAGUGCCAUUAAAUUGAAUAAAACUGCAUUUAGAAAGCUUUUACCUCGUCACCAAGAUUUUUACCACUUCGAAGGUUCUUCCUCACUUUUGCCAACGCAUCUCUCCAACUCUUUAUUCAAAAUUUUCCACUUAUUAGCCAAGGCCAUUUCCGGACUAGCCGAACCCAAUCUUUCACAAAAUUCUCUAUUAAUUUUUCUCCACAUAUGAGAAGACUUCACGGGCAAUGACCAAAUUUGACCCAACACUCACACAACAAAAUAUCUUCCACGGUUGUCCACGAGCCUUCGGCUUCUCUUGAAGAGGCCAUCUUUAUUUUUACACAAAUGGAUUUAGUAGUAUAAAAUUUGGGGUGAAAAGUGAAAAAUAUUGGAAGGAGAAGAAUUUGUAUGAAGAUUUUGUGUGGAAAGUGAAUAAUAUUGGUAGGUAUUUAUAAAAAUAAAAAUAAAAAAAUCCUUUAUUUUUUGAUAUUUUUUUACAAAGUUUUUUGAUUUUUUUAGCCAGAAAAUGGGCAGCCAUUGGAUUGGAAGAGAUUUUCGGAUCAGAGCCUCUAGGAGAAGCCACUGGAUUGGAAGAGAUUUUCGGAUCAGAGCCUCUAGGAGAAGCCACGUGGCUUGUAGUCGUUGGUUUCUUGCAGCAUUGAUGCUAGCAUUGCGUCAGCUGCUCGAAGGUAAGAGGACAUGUCAGAUCUCCCCGUGGGCUUGUCCGGGCUCGUGGGUCCCAAGCCUUGCCCAGGCUGGGUCUUCCAUGCUAGAGCUACCUGGGCUAACCCCUUGCAGUGGAAGUGCUCUUAGAAGAACCUUCGACAAAAUUGUCUAGUCCCUAAAACAUUGGACAAUAGGAGGUUACCAAGACAAAAUUGUCUAGUCCCUAAAACAUUGGACAAACCAAUCAAGUUACUGUCCGACAAUGACAUGAAAUAAACUCUUUAAGUUACUCACUGAGAGUGACAUUAAACAACUCUUGGAUUAAUGACAACUGUACUGAAACGGUAUGUCCAAUUUUGAAGGAUUUGGACCAUUUUAACAUUUUUUUUUUCUUGUGUGAAUGACUUUUUUAUCAUGCACGCGUCCAAGGAACCCUCUAGAACAAGGACCACAAUUACCCUCUAGGGCUCAGCACCAAAAUAACAAACCCCUUCGUCCACAUAUAUUUACAGACCCACCUCUGCAUCUGACACUGUUUGAGGCUUUUCCCAUUCCCCCUUCCCCCAUCGAUUCACAAACACAAUAGAAGCGAAGUCUGUUCUGUUUAGAGAGAAGGAGAGCAAUGGCAGAGCAUUUGGCUUCCAUAUUUGGGACAGAGAAGGACAGGGUGAACUGCCCUUUCUACUUUAAGAUAGGGGCGUGCAGGCAUGGAGAUCGCUGCUCCAGACUCCAUACCAAGCCCAGCGUCAGCCCAACCCUCUUGCUCUCCAACAUGUACCAGAGGCCCGAUAUGAUCACUCCCGGCGUCGACGCUCAGGGCCAGCCCAUCGACCCCCGCCAGAUCCAAAGACACUUUGAGGUCUGCUUGCCCUUCUUCAUAUUCAAAAUUGAAAACCCAUUUGACAUUUUUGCUUUUAUUUGAUGUUUGUUUUUUGUUAUAGAGGAAAGUAACCCAUGAUUUAACAAAAACCCAUUUGCAUUUUGCGCUGUUUUUGUUCGGAAUGUUGUGUUUUGGAUUUGUUGUGUGCUAUUUCUAUGAAUUAGAGGUUUUUAUUAUGUGUAUUGGACUCUCUCCGACUUUCCCUGUGUG